CCAAAUCUAUUUUUAAAGAUUAUUUAUUUGAGCUUAAAUGAAAGUCCAAUUGUUCUUUUUAAAGUGAACUUAUUCAUUUUGGACUUAAUACAAAUUUGAUAAUAUUGGUUUUGGAAAAUAGAUUAACUUAAGAAAGCUGUUUUACGAGAAUAAAAUUUUUCAACAUUGAACUUGUUUUAUUUUUCUGUAUUAAUUCACAAAUUUUAAUAUUUGAAUUUUAUAUGGUUGGAAAGCUCUUUGAGUCUACUUUCUAAUGGAUCAAACAAAAUCAAAAUCCAAAUUUUCUAAGAAAAGAUUUUGAAUUUUUACUAGACAUUGCAGUUGUCAAAAAAAUUGCAUAAUGGGUAACUUUGAAAAUUUACUAUAAUUCGUACACAGUGAAUUAGGUGACGCACUUUACAUGGAUAGAAAGCUCUUUAAGUCUAGUUUCUAAAUCUUCAAACGGUUUGUGAAUUGGAUUUGCAUAACUCAAGUUAUGAUCAAAUUAGUAAGUAGAGUGCAAAACAGGAAACUAUCACCUAGCAUGGACAGGAUUGAUCCCCUCUAGAAGGGAUCGAUUGGUUUUCAAACAGAAUGCUCCCAGGACCGAAAAUCUAGAAAAGGGAUCAAUCCCCUACAAAAGGGAUCGAUCGGUUAGGCUAUUUUCAAAGAGAAAUUAGUUCAAAACAUGAACCAAUCGAUCCCCUAAGUGAGGGGAUCGAUCCCCUGAAGGCCAAAAUCACUCCAAUGGCUAUUUUAUCAAGGAUUCAACGGCUACUUUAUCAAGGAUUCAACGGCUACUUUCACUUUCCAAACACUUUCAACGGCUAGUUCCUCAAUUUCUCUAUAAAUUGGGCACUCCACCACACCAACAAAAUAGAUGAAUCAAGAGAGUAAGAGCCAACAAGCAAUAUUUUCAUUCUCUCAAAUAAUCAAGAGUUUUUAGAGCUUCAAAGUCUAUAUCUUUGCAUUUAUUGUAUCCAAAUUAUUUUUGUUGUUCAUUCAUCAUUUUCUUGUCUAUACUAUUGUAUACUUCAAAUUAGCAAACACCCAACCUUUGAGAGGUUCUUAAAGUUUGCAAAACACUUCAAAAAAUUUGUAUUGUGUGCUUGUAAGCUUAAGGGGGAAGAUAACCCUUAAGAAUGUGUAGUGUUGAGUUUGUAAAGCUUUGAGAAGCUUGUUUGUAAUCUUCAACACAUAGUAGAUUGGAGCCUUGGUGUGGACAACCAAAAGAGAGGAUUAGGUGCCUUAUGGAAAAGGACCGAAGCUCUAUAAAUCAUUGUAUUUGAUUUCUCUAUCCCUAUCUCCUUAUAAUUAUUAUUGUUCAUAUUUGAUUUUAAGUUCAUUAAUUGUUAUUGUUUUCAUUAUAUUUUCAUCAAAAGGACUUGUUGUCUUAAUUUUCCUUCAACUAUGUUGAAAUCAUUAUUUGGGAAGAAUUUGGAGAGAUCCAAUUCACCACCCUCUUGGAUCACCAUCUAACCUAUAAAGCUAACAAUUGGUAUCAAAGCUUUGGUCUCUUUUUGUAGGUUUAACCACCUUGAGAAAAGAUCAUAUGGCUCAAUUUUGGUUCCAAGAUGGUGAGGAAGUCCUCAAAGUUCCUAUCGUUGAUAAAUUUGAAUUUUAUGAAUGGAGAAGGAGGAUGAAGGUGUUCAUUAUGGCCCAAGAUUUUAGAGCUUGGAAUGUUUGUAAAAGGGCUUGAAACUCCUUCAAAUGAUGCAAAAUACAUGGGGCAAGUGAUGAAUGAUGUCAAGGCCAAGUGCUUACUAUAUGGAGCUCUUGACUCCCACAAAUUCAACUUGGUAUCAAAGUGUCCAACCUCAAAUGAGAUAUGAGAGAAGUUGGAUGAAAUAUAUAAAAGACAACAAUCCAACCGAAAUGCAUCAUGUCUCAUGGCUCUUGAAGAUCCGGAGGUAACCUCUAAUUCUAUUAAUUCAAAUUCAUAUGCUUCUGAUGAAUUACAAUAUGCUUAUAAUGAGCUAUAUGUUGAAUGUGAAUCAAUGAAGAGGAAAUAUAAUAAAAUGAUUUCAAAGUUAAAUGUAGAGAAUGAAUUUUUAAUGAAUGCAAAAAAUGCUUUGGAAAAAGAAAAUAAAAAAUUGAAAAUAGAUUUUGAAACCUCUCAAAAUAAGUAUGAAAUUCUAGAAAAAGAGAAUUUAGAAUUGAGAAAGAAAUUUGAAGUUUUGAUGAAUGAAAAACAAGAGCUUUUAAACAAGAGUUUAAGUAAUAAAAUGAUUAAAUACAAUUUUUGUAAUUUUCAUGGUCAUAUUACACAUACUUGUCCUAUUAGAAGAAAAGUUUCAUUUAGAAUUAGGGAAGUAUGGGGUUCCAAAAGGAACAAGAGACUUGGUGACUAACUCUCAAGGACCCAAAGCAAUUUGAGUACCAAAAUCAAAUGAGAUGUCUCUUAUAGGUGUGCUAGAGUAAAGAGCUACAAUGUGAGAUUGAAGAUUAAAUACUCUAAACAUACAAUGGAGUAUGGGUAACCUCUAAACUUUGUAUUGAAGAAUAUUGAAUUUGAUUACCUAUCUUAAUGAAAUUUGGGAUGCUUAAUUGAUUAUGAAAAAUUUGUUGCUAUUCUUGUUAAGCAUAGGAUGCUUAAUGGAUAUUGGUAUAUGCUUUAUUGAUAUACUUGAAUAUACCGAUUUUACUUGAGAAAAUGUGAGCUUGAAUUGCACAUGCAUUUAUUUUGCAUAAAUAUCUUUGUUUGAAUGAUUUUAGCAUGAAUGACCAUGAUGUUUAAAAAUUGCUCAAUUUGUUUAUAAUGCUUGGAUCUUGUGAAAUAUUAUUUAAACUUGAUUGUCAUAUUUUAAAUUGUUAUAACUCUUGAUUUAUAAAUUUAUGAACAUCUUGUGCUUAAAUUAUAAAUAUUGUUGUUUGAUUGUUCAUCUUUUGAUUUCUUAUGAAAUAAUCUUGAAAUAUGCUUUAAUUCUUUAUCCUUAUUAAUUCAAGAUUUAUUUCUUCUCUUGUGUUGAUGAAUUGAUGAACAUUAUGUGCUUAAAUGGAAUAUAUUGAUUCUAGGUUCAUCUCUAGUCUUGGUCAAGAUAUAUGCUUGUAUGAUCAUUAAUUCAAUUUGACCUUAAUGCUUGUGGUUAAAAUGCUUGAAUUGUUUAUCUCUUGAUUGUGAAAGAUAUUUUGUGAAAUAUGUUUAUUUUUAUUCUUAAAAUGUUUUAUUAAUUUUGUGAAAUAUUUUGGAUCUUGUGCUCAAUUGAUAUAUUUCUUAUUUGUGAUUUUAAAUAUGAUGAACUACUUACUUGUAAAUGAUAUGUGUUAUUGGUUCAUCUAUUGUUCUUGUCAAGUUCGUGCAUAUAUGAUAAAUGUGAUUUUUCUUGACUUGACAUUCUUUCAACAUGACUUAAGUGAGUGAUUUUCUUAUGAUGCUUAUUUUUAACUUGAGUCAUUGUUGAUUAUGACCUAUAAUUUGUGUAAACAUAUUUAUGCUUUUGUGCUAAAAUUUUUUUGAAUAUGUUUUUGAUUAUAAAUAUGUCUUCCUUAAGUUUCUAGUUUCCAUAUGACCUAAAAUUUAUUUUGGCAUAUUCUUUGAUGAUUUAUUGAAUAUAUAUGAAUAUUAAAUAUGUCUUCUUUGUGUUCAAUAUUUCUAAAUGAUCUAGAAAGGUUUGAUUUUUGCACAUUACAUGAGAACUUGUGCUUUAGUGCCAUUCUUGUGCUAUUUGAUGUUUAAAUUGAUAUAUGACCUCUAACUUAAGUAUAUCUCUCCCUUGCAAUUGGCAACUUAUGCUUAGUGAAUAAAUUUUCUUUUGCAUAUAAUGACUUAGAAUAUUGAAUUAUUUUCUAACGAUUGGUAUAAUUUUGAUCAAUUGAUUUUCUUGAUACUUCUAAUGAAAAUCUUUUGUGAAAAAUUUUUUCUAAGUCUAUGCUAGGAGAACUUGAAAUGAGCAUAGAUGAGCUUACAUUUUUAGAAUUUCAAGUAUAGCAAGCAAAACAUGUGAUCUUCAUCUAUCAAGCCCGAGUACAUCAAAGACUUAGCUCAAAUGAUGUGGAUUGGAGAAUUCAAAGCCAAAUGAGCACAACAACAAACCUUGACAUUGAUGGAGGUAAAUGUAUCAACUUUAUGAUAUGAUGUAUGAGUUUGAUACAUAUACAUGCUUGCUUUAAUAUGUGCAAUAUAUGAUUUUGUGGUUGAAUAUAUGAACACAUUACACAAAUUAAUCACCAAGCACUUGGUAGAUACUAUUCUAAUUUUUUAAGGCUUGGAUUGAUUAAUUCAUCUUCAUUAAUAUUCAUGCCUAGUUCUUGAUUGCUUUGACUAAUAGUUUUAAUUGCAAUGAAUAUUCUUUUGAAUCUUUGCACAUGAAUAUGAGUUAAAUAGAUUAAUUUCUUUAAACAUGUUCAUCGAUUGAGUCCAGUUGAGGAUAGCAUGUACCAUAUUGUGUCUAAAGGUUUGCAUUUUUUUUGUAUAUUGCUAUACAUGUUUUGAAAUGUUCUUGCAUUAUGCUUGUGUGAUUUUGUUUGAAAUAAAUAUAUGUUUGAUUAAUUGCAUAUGCUUAGAUUAAUUACAUUGCUCUGCAUUGAAAUAAUUUGGAUUAUAAUUGAAUAAUCAUGCUUUCAUUAUUUCUUUGCUAUAGCAUAUGUGCUCAUCAUGUUUGGAGAAUCAUGCUUAUAUAAUCUUUGUUAUGAUAUGAUGAUAAUUGAACCUCAUUGCUCAUUAGUACUUAUGAUUUAUUAUAUACAUAUGAGCUUUUGGUUCUUGUUUGGAUAUGACAGCUUAUGAAAUAUUACUACUAUCAUUUAUGCAUGUAUUGAAUAAAUAUUUCAUAUGCUUGAAGUAUGUUUAUUCUAUGAAAGUUGUUGAAUAAAAUUGCUAACAAUUGGUAACAAUUGAUAUCAAAAUUGCUAAACUUUUUUUUAACUUUUAUAGACAUUUGUUUAUGUGCCUAUCCUUGAUAUAGCCUGUACCUUUCAUGCAAAAUUGUGUGUACCUUAAAUUGAUUAAUCCUUAUUUUGAAAAUGAGGCAAAAUUUUAUAAUACAAUUUUGCUUGAUUUGUUUUGUGAUAACAAUUGGUAUGCUUCCUGAUGACAUAUCUUUAACAAUUGAUAUCCUUAACAAUUGGUAUGAGCUUGUAUGCAUGUGCUUGAAUUUAUACUUAAUUGUUAUUGAUGUUUUAGGUUCUAAGCACAUCUUAUCCUAACAUGAUUUAUGAGUAGAUUGCAUAUCAUUCAUUAUCCUUUGCCCAUAAAUUUCAUGUAGUAAAUUUGAUGACUUGUGCUAAAAUGCUAAAAUUGAAUACAUUUAUACUAUUAUGUUUUUGUGCUAGAAUACAUGUAUGUGAACUUCAUUGUGCAUAUUACACUUGAUUACAUGCAUUCAAAAUACUCUUGAUAUUAUUGGUAUCAAGCACUUUGUCCCAUGCCUUGAAUUGAUUUCUCUUUCUUUUGAAAUGAUAAAAAAGGAGAGAAAGUUUAGAGAUAUCUCUUCUUGUAUGCUUAUAGCAAUUGAUAUAGGAGUUUAAACAUUUGAUAUAAAGAGCAUAAACAAAAAAAGAGAAAUGCUUUAUGAAUAUAUUGGUUAAUGAUGCCUCUUUGUGUUUAUUUGCUCAUUAAUUUGCCCAUGCCUUUUUGCUAUGACAAAAAGGAGAAAAAAUAGCAUAUAGACAAAUUGGCUUGUGCUUGACAUGCAUAUGUUUGAUUGUGCUUAUUUCAUAUAUUUGACUAGCAUAUGUUUGUUAAGUUGUGUUGGAUUAUGAUGCAUAAAUUGAGGGGGUGUUUUGCCAUGCAUUGUUUAAGGGGGAGUUUUCCAAAAUAUCUUUCAAAAUCUUAAAUGUUUCAAAGAAAGUUUUUCAUCAAGCAAAUUUAUCUUUAAGUUUUGUCAUAUCAAAAAGAGGGAGAUUGUUAGCCUUGAAUUAAUCCUUAUUUUGAAAUGACAAAACAUUAAAGCUAAAUAAACUUGAUCAAGAUUUUGAAAAAGAUUUAUUUAGUACAUGUUCUUAAGUUUUAUAUUUUGGUACUAAAUAAAUAAUAUGUUUUUCAAAGUGUAAACAAACCUUUCUUUGUUUUCAUAUUUCUCAAACCAUCAUUUUUCUCAAACCAAAUCUAUCUUUAAAGAUUAUUUAUCCAUAUAAACAAGCCAACCAUACCUUUUCACUCCAAAUUCUUUCGCUAUUAGAUCCAUUCCUUCAUCAUUACUGUCAUCACUGUUGAAUUCAUCAUCAUCUUCCUCCUACUCCUCAUCUUCUUAAUCCGCAUCUGAAAAAUGAACUUCCUCUUUCCCAUUUCCAUCAUAAGAGAACCCAACUUGAGAAUACGAACUUUUAUUAGCUUGUUGUGCAGGCUGUGCUCUGUCAAAUAUACCAAAAAAAGAAAGAAACAAACAACAUAACCACAUAAAGCAGUCAGAUAUAUUACAUCGGUAAAAGCAGCAAACGAGACACUUUGGAGGAAAUUAUAACCACAAUCAUAUUACACAUGCCAAAGACACCUAAAUGAAGCACACCCAUCUCCUUUAGAAAUAGUCUACGCUAUACUUUAUUCAUGCAGGUCACCAAGUAAAUCUUCAUGAUAUAUGCAACAAUAUUAUUGACAAAAAAAAUGAAUGUAUCAUACUUUGCAAUAAAUCGAAUACUAAGUCAAAGAAUAAACCCAUCAAAGAUAAUCUCUAAAAACCAUAUGAAGCGAAAAAAAGAAGCAAGCCAAGUUUGUAAACUUUGAUCUUCUAUAAAGCUAACAUAUUUCUACAUUUGUUUCUGAAUAGCAUAACACUGAGCAAAAUAUCUAUUGCAACCAUCAUCUUAACUCCAUGUCUAAGAUCACCCAAAAACCCUAUGCAGAAUGCAUCAAAAUAUUUUACGAGCACCAAACAUUGUUAGAACAUCAUAUAAGACAGACCUAAUAAAUUUAUCCAAAAAAAUUUAACUAGAGUACUAUCACAUGCAUCAUCCAUCUUAUCAAAUGGGCACAAAAGUUUUAAAAUAAAAAAAAUAAAACCUGUCUGAUUGAAACGGUGCAAUAACUUUUGCCUCCAUUUCGAGAUUCACAUGUUGUAAAACCUCCUCAUCCAUAACUGUCAAAAGAAAUAAACCUCAGCUCAUUCGAUAGUUAAUCGCUAUUCUUAUAACUGACUUUAUCCUUAUAUGUUAUAUUGCAAUGCAACCAAUAAAAGGGAUUUGAAACGAACAAGGAAAACUAAAAAAACACACAAUUUAUCAAUUCAGAGAAAUAAAAAAGUACCGACAUCCUCUACGCCGGUGUUUAAUUAAAUCCCAAUAACGCUCAAAAUUAACAAACUCUUCUACUUCUUCUUCUUCUACAGAUUUCUCUUGAUUCCUAAAAUGCCGCAUCCCUAGCUCCUGAAUAAAAUCGAGUAGAGCUCGGCCAUCAAAUCUAAAAUAUAAACGAAUAAUUAAUUCUAAAGAAAAAAAACUUUAUCUAAAACGUUGUCAAUAAUUAAAAAAACAAAAGAGAAAAUAAAAUACCUAUCAAUUAAAACGUCUUGUUUUCCAUUCCAAGGAAUCCUGUAAAAAUAUGGAAUAAAUGGAAUUUUUUUUAUAUAUUUAAUGAAAUUCAAUAAGCUAAUUUCUAGAAAAUUGGUUAAUUAACUUACAGGCCUUACUGGUCUUGAGUGGCGUGAUAGAGAGCAUCGUCGCGGUCGACACGGCAGCGAGAGCCGAUGACUUGAAUGGAUUGUUGAGGAUCGCCGCGUCUUUUGGCUAAGAAGAUGGCUUGUCUUUGGCUCUCUUUCGAGCCGCGUCCAUCAUGUCGUGGACUUUCCUCUCUGACCUCCGAGCUUCGUGCCACAUGUUUGAGAAGAGAAUCGGAGUAUCGAAACCCCAACUAUAAAGAGAAAAAAUCGAUGCAUGGUAACGGAAGCGCCAGAGGAAAUUAACGACGAUAUCAGAUCAAUAAUGAUCUCUCGUGUUUGGUUCCGUUGGAAAGUUUUGUUUGGUGGGAAACUGGGCUUUUACUCAGAAACCCUUUUUUGCGUUGAUGGUUGAGCGGCCCUUUUAACUAGUCCAAAACGCCCGUUGUUUGAGAUUUGGGCUGAUAGGCCUAUUCUUUUUUCACUUUUUUGUAUUAAUUUUCACUUAUUUUUCCAUCUUAAGAAGGCUUUUUUUUUUUUUUUUUACUAUUGACUAUUGAGUUUGUUUGGCAUAAAUUCAAUCAAACCAAUUUCUUUUUUCAUAUUAUUAAUAGUAUAAUAUAAAAAAAUAGUAAUAACUAGGUAGUUUCUCAUGCGUUGUUGCAAUCUAGAUUAAAAUUAUCAAUUAAUUGAAUUGAUAGAUAAUACUAUGGUAGAAGUUCAUGAUCUAUUAAUUAUAUGAUAAGCCAUAUAUGUUGUUAAUAAAUAAAAUCUGAAAAUGUAAAUUAAAUACAAUAACAUAUGUAUAUUUGCUUAAAUACUUAAUCAAAUUGCUUUCUUUUUUUGCUAUGGCAUUUUGCAAAGUUAUGAAAUUAAAUAACAAAAGUAUUGAGUCAUAUGCAAAGGUUUUGAAUUGGAAUUAAUGUGUUGUAUAUGUUUUGUUUGCAAGUAAUGUUCUUUCUUAUUUGUUACAGCACCUUCAUACUUUGAUUUUUUUCUUUUCCUUUCCUAUUGAUGUUUGUGAAUAAUAUAAUAUAAAUUUCAUAUGAGUUUGAGUUGUUAAUUGAAGAACUGAUACAAAUUUCAAUUUGUGAAUAGUAUAUAUGAAGUUGAAUGGAUUUUACCUCAUUUCUCAUUUUUUUGUUGGUGAUUCUUCAUCAAACAAAUCUUCAAGGAUGCUGUUUUGCAUUAGUGACUGAGGUAAUUUUUCAUCAGACUCUUGUUCUUGUUUAUGUGUGCUUGUAUUUGCUGAAGUGGACAUUAGCAAGCUUUGUUUUGCUUCAAUACCAUCUGGAAGGAAGACAAUGUUGAUGGAGUAUUGAAAACCUUGUUUUUUAAUUGACUGUUUGGUAAUGGAAACUUGAAAAUCUUUUUUUCAUUCUCUAGGUCUUUCAAUAGUUUUGGAAGGAUGAAAGGGCUUCCAUUUGUCAUAGUAAUAAGGUUCAUGAUAGAUCCUUGGACCAACCGUUUGUCAAGGUUUCCAAAAAACAUGAAUUGUGCAAUACUAGUGUAGUUUUCAACUAUAAUUGGCAAUUUGCAUAUACAUAUUUUAUAAAUUUUAGUCUAUGAAAACAUAAUUUUUUCUUUCAUUUCUAGUUUUUAGGUUUAAAAACAAUACCUAGGAAUGGGCAUUCUUUCAUGGUAUUCAAUACACUAGAAUUUCUUAUUAAUGGGAAUUAGUGUUCGAGUGCAUUCACUAUAAUUGUUGUAAAACUAGCUUUGAGAUGCAUUAAGUUCCAAAGUUCUUGCUUCUAAUAUGAAUUUAGUGUUCUGCAAAUGUGAAUGUAAUAUAUGUUACUUGCAACCUACAUUUAUGGUUGUUUUUUUAUGGUGUAUCAAAGUCAUUGAUAUACCUUUACUUCAUUUGGAUUUUAUUUCAAUAGUUCCUUAAUAGUUACUUUGUGCAUCCUUUUUUCCUCUUCUAUUGGACAUUUUGUUGCAACAUUGAGUUCAAGGAUUUUAGCUUUUGGCUAUGCUUGAGACAUUUGUAUGCAAUCAUAUAAGUCAGUUUGUUAAUGUAUUGUCAAUUUUUUUAUAAGAAAAGUUAUCUAUUUUUUAGAUCUUCUACUUUUGGAACAUUUGGAUUCACAAUAAUUAAUGAAGUAGACCAUGUAGAUAUCGAGAGUUGGCCUGUUUAAAUGAAAUAUUAGUCAUGUUUUUUUAUCAAUUUAAUCAUAUUAAUAGUUGGCAUUCUAUAUUUUUAUAAGUUAAAGAUAGGCAUAUAUUUUUUAUCUAAAAAUUUUGUAACAAUCAUUGAUGCAAAGAUGAUCACAGUGUUAUCCUCACUUCCUAUAAGCUAAUUCUCAUCUAGUUGUUGUUCAAAAUCUCUCUAGAGUGUUACUCCAAUCAAAUCAUUCAUGCAAUUAUAUUGUUACGAAGUAUUGCUUUGAACUAUAAUUAUUUUAAAAUUUUUUGUUCCAUAAAGUAUACAUACUCAGAUAUCAGUACUUGUAAAUUUUUUUUGUCACUUCUUAUAAGCUAUCCCCUAAAAGGUAGUUGUAACUUUGCCAAUGUUGACAAAGAUUUCAAUGACAUCUGUGAAUGAAAGAUUUUGUUUGUUUAUUAAAUGUAUAUUGGGUGUAUUGUAUGAAAUGAAAGUUUGAUUUUUAAAGGUUAUAUAGAAUUACAUGAUAAAAUCUUAUUCUUCUUGAUUAUAUUUUCAAGCUGUUGAAAGUUCAUAAAGUUUAAUGGUAGAAAGGGAAAGAAUUAGGAACUUUUGUUGAUUUAACAACUUUACUUAUACUCGAAAUGUUUAUCGUUAAAGGAUUUGGAACAAUAUUGUGAAAAUUCUUUCUUUCACUCACAAAGAAGUUUGAAAUCAGAUAAAUCUAAUUUUCAUGAAGCAUAUCCUCAUAUGAUGCGAUGUCUGUUGGCUUGAUAAUUCCUUGAAUUGCAUUAUUCUGUUUUUUUGGUAUUGACAGCAUGUAAGAAAACAUUGAUGACAUUAAUAAUGAACUCAUUUUUCAAACAAUCAAUAUAUAGUUAUUAAACUAUCUACAAUACAAUUGAUGUUAGUAAUCAACUCAUUUUUUAAACAAUCAAUAUGUAUAUUAACUUUUUUAAUAAUGUUUUAUAAGAUUUUCUUAAUGUUUUAAAACCUAGAUACAACAUUUUGAACUAUGCCAACAUUAGGCUAAUCUUUUAGGAAACUUAAAUGCUUUAUGAAUGUCAUCUAUUUUAAAUGAGUAAAGGAAUUCAAACUGUUGAAAAUAAUAAUAAUAAUAAUAACAAAACUAAAUGUUUGUAAGUAAUCUAACUAUUAUGCUAAUGUUUUUAAAGAUUUUUAGCCUUCAAAAAGAUGUUAAAAUGUAUUUUUAAAUGGAUAUAGUAUUAGCAUAUAGGUUGUAUAUAAUUUAUCUAUUGAUCAAUGGCUAGGAAAUCAUGGUUGAUGAGUUGAUUGUCUACUCAAGGGUUGAUGGAUUUUCAUAUCCUUAUCUUUACUUCAAUUAUGCUUAUGUGACUUUUGGUGUCCAACUCAUAUAGCAUUAGAAUAGCCAUUGUUAUUGAACCUAAAAUGGUUUCUUAUAUAUUUUAGUAUUAUUCAUAGAAUAUUUUUAAAAUUAUUCAAAACUUAACAUACCUUUUCUUCAAUGAGGAAAAUUGUGGAUCAAAUUUGGAUUGAAUUUAAAGUUAGUCUGAUAUAAAAUAACAAAAAAAAUUAUUAUUAUUAUAAAGUUUAAGUAGUAAUUUAAUAAUAUAGCUUUUCAAACUAAAUUCGUAAGGUUCAUGCAUAGUCAUAGGAAAUUAUUAUAAAUAAUGAGAAUAUAACAAAAUAGUAAAUAAUUGUCUACAAGGAAUUAUCAUAAAAUAAUGAAAAUAUAACAAAAUAGUAAAUAAUUAUCUACAAAGAAAAAUUGUGUAUCAUACUUGCAACCAAAUCUUCAAAUAUUUAAUGGUAAACAACAUUUUUUGUUUUGUUUCUUUUACAAACACGUUCAUGAUCUAUUAAAAUUUUUAAACUUUUGAAAGAAGUUACUCUUGAUAAUCCAACAUAAAGCUGGCCAUGGCUGAAUACUAGCUUUGGUAAGUAUAAGCCAACAAAGUCUAAAGUUUGCCCUUGGUUUUUGUUAAUUGUCAUUGCAUAUGACAGCCUUAUGAAGAAUUGUUUCCUUUUAAGAGCAAAUGACCACUUCUGAUAUUUUAUUGUCAUGACAAUUAUGGGAAUGUACACUUUCUCACCUAUAUUAUUGCCACUUAUGAUCUUACUGUCAAUGAUAUUUUUAGCAUGCUGUGUAACCAUAAGCCUAGUUCCAUUUCACAAGUUAAAUGUCUAAUUUAUAUUUCGUAAUAGCAUGAUGACAGUUCCAGUUUUCAAAAUAAGUUUAUGGUUAGGAAUACCUAAAAAAUUUAGUGAAUUAAGAAAUUUCAAAAGGUAUAAUACAACUUCAUAUGGUAUGUUGCUCAUUUUAGGACAUAUUGAAUCAUAAUUUAAAUAAGUUAUUGAUUCUUUAGGGACCAAAGAUAGAACAUGUUGAUUUAUGAUAUCUACAGAUUUAUUGUAUAAAGUAAUUAUUGCUUUUUGUUUCAAGUAGACAUUAUCAUAAUAGCAACCUAAAAAAUUUUCAUAAAUGGUAGCUGAUAUAGUAGUUAUUGGAUCACUUGUAUAAAAAACCAGUAGAUCUUGUGAAAUUUCUAUUUAGUUUGCUUCAUAAUCAAGUGUUUGGUUUGAAGGCUUUAUUCCACCAUUACAUAUGUUAAAAAGCCAUUGAGCAAACAUUUCAUGUUACUCUUCUUAAUGUCUGUCAUGGUUUCUUUUAUUAGCUGCAUGUUCACUCUUAAUUGGAAAACUUUAUAAUUAUGCCACAGAUUUGAUUUGCUAAUACUAGCAUCUACAAUUUCAUGUCUUGUCCCAUUUUUAAAGACAGGCAAACCUUGUCUAAAAUCAUUACCAAGGACAACUGUUUUACUUCCAAAGGAUUUAGUAAAAGCUUCAAGGUUUAUGUUUUAAUUUAUAUCCUUUAGAGAUUUAUCUAAUGCUUUAAAGCAAUAUUUAUGAACCAUUGGUAUUUCAUCCCAAAUGAUUAGUUUACUGACUUGGACUAAUCAUGCUUAUUAUAACAUAUAGAUUCAUGGGCCUAUGGCUAGACAUAAAUUAGAAGGAGUCACCAUCAGUCUUUUUUGAUUAGGUGUGAUUGACCACCUAAUUGAAGCUGAUCUACAAAACAGAGGUUAGGUUUGAAAGUUGAUUGCGCAUGAAAAAGGUUGUAACACCUCCAACCCAUCCAAAGGAUGGUGCUAGUUUGAUUUUGAAUUAUCCAAGCCUUUAUCAUCAUCUUUUUUUUUUUGCUUUAUCAAAUAAUUUAUUAAUUUUAUUAGAACAAUAAAACCUUUCAAUUUUUUUGUUUAUUUAUUUAUUAUUUGAAAACAUUAUUUACAAAGAUUUUUCUUUUUUUUCGAAAAGAUUUUUUUUUAAAUAUAUAUUUUUUUUCAAAAAUAUCAAUAGUAGAAAUAUUUUUUUUUUGUUUUUUUUAAAUUAAAACCAAAAAAUCAAAUAAUAAAAAAUGGGUUAGAAAUAAAAAUAUAAAAAAAAGAAAAACUUAGGAUCAGAUCGAGUUAGGACCCGGAUCGACGUGCGGGUCUUCAGGUUAACGCGUAUUGUGUUGGAGAAGUAUAAAAACCACACCACUCAGCUUUUUUUUAGAAUUAUUUGAGUAUGCCUCUCUUUCUAAAAUAAUAAUUCUUUUGUUUUCUCUCUAAUUAUUUUCAAAAAUUGAUGAAUAAAUCCCAAAUGUUGACAGGGAAUUUUAGAAAACCCAACAAAUUGUCUAAAAAGCAAAACCCAAAAAUCCAUGGAAUGCAAAAUCCUACAGAAAUUCAAACCCAAAAACACUAAAUCCCAAUCUUAGAAAAUCUAAAUAAAUCAAACCCAGGACCUAAAACCUCUUGGUUGCUAAACAAACUUUAUUUUUCUUUCCAAAGGUUCUACAUAAUCUCUUUUUUUUUCUUAAGAGUUUUUUUUUUUGCCUUUUUUCUCUCUCUCAAAAGUUUUUUUUUUUUUUUGCAUAAUCUUUUUUUUCCUUUGCUUUUAUCACAAGUUUAUAUAGAGGUUCAUGCUCAAUCAAUUCUCCUUAAAUCUGUGAUUUUGUUUAAUUUUCGUCUUAAUGAGAAUUGAUUUUGAAAUCAAAUCCCAAAAAUCUCUCCUUAUCAUUUUAAUGUGAAUUGAUUAUGGAAUUAAAUCUCGACAAUCUCUCUACAUCAAAUGUCAAUUGAUUCUGAAAUUAAAUCGCACAAAUCUCUCAACCACGGUUAAACUUCGAAAAAAAAAAUACCCAAACAAAAUGGGAUAUCUACAGCUGCCAUUCUUUGUGCAUUUUCCGUGGAGUAAGAAUUGCACAAAGAUAAAAAAAUCCAUUUUGUUUGGGUCUGAAAUCUGAGAUUUUAAAAUAAAGUAGGCCAAAAUGAUUAAGACUAAACUGUAAAACAACAAAUAAAAUGAUCUGGACUGAGCUAAGAUCAAAACAAGUGAUCGAGACGAAACCACGAGUCAAAAAAUAAAGGGACCGAGAUUGAGUCCAUGUAAAAAAUAAAUGACCAAGAUGAAACCACAAGUCAUAAGAAAUGAUCUGGACUGAGCCAAGUUCGGGUGACUAGGGUGAAACCAUGAGUCAAAAAAAAUAAAGCAACCAAAACUGAGUAGAGGUAAAAAAAUAAAUAAUUGAGACAAUGCCGCAAGUUAACAAAAUGAUCUGACUUGAGUCGAGAUCGGAUGACUGGGACUAUGUCGCCAGUUUAAAAGUGACCAUGAUCGAGUUGAGGUUGAAGAUGAAUGACUGGGACAAUGCCGCAGGUGAAUUUUGCUCUAAAUCCAAAGAUUCACAAUUUGGACAUUCAAAAAAAUUGUGAGGUUCUAAAAGUUGAAAGAUCAUGACAUCCUAAUUUUAACAAAAUUAUAAAGAUUCAAUAUUUGCAAAGGUUUUCAGAUUUGCAAGAAUGAAAAAUUUGUAAGAUUCUAAACUUCAUAGAGAUUCUAAAUUCACAAAGGUUCCAAGUUCGCAAGAAUUUUUAGAUUCAUAAAAAAAAAGAAUUACAAGAUUUCAAGUUUCGUAAAGGUUUUAGAUUCACAAAGAUGCAAGGUUCGCAAGGAUUUUUAGAUUUGUAAGAAAAAAAAUUCACAAGAUUCCAAGUUUCGUAAAAGUGAAAGGUUCAUAAGGACUUUUAGAUUCAUAAAAAAGAAAGAUUUGCAAGAUUUCAAGUUUCACAAAGGUGCAAGAUUCGCAAGAAAAAAAGACUCGUAAGAUUCUAAGUUUCAUAAAGGUGUAAGAUUUGCAAGGACUUUCAUAUUCGCAAGAAAGAAAAUUUUGCAAGAUUCUAAGUUUCAUAAAGGUUUUAGAUUCAUAAAGAUACAAGGUUUGCAAGAAAGAAAAAAUCACAAGAUUUCAAGUUUCACAAAAGUGCAGGAUUCGCAAGGACUUUCAAAUUCGCAAGAAAGAAAGAUUCACAAGAUUUCAAGUUUAGUAAAGGUUCUAGAUUUGCAAAAAUGCAAUGUUCGCAAAGAUUUUCAAGUUUGCAAGAUAUAAGAUUCGCAAAGGCGCAAGGUUCGUAAAGACUUUCAAAUUCAUAAGAUUCCAUGCUUCACAGAGGUUCUAAAAAAUGAUUUAGAUCAAAUUGAGAUCAAAAUGAGUGAUCAGGAUUAAAUCGUGAGUCUAACAUAAAGUAACUAAGAUCGAGUCGAGUUCAAAAAUAAAUAAUCGAGAUGAAACCAUGACUCAUAAGAAAUUAUCUAGACUGAGCCAAGAUCAAGUGAGUGAUAACAGAGUAAUACAAGUGCAUGCCUUAUGCAAAUGUAAUGUACGUAAAGUUGAUGUCAUGAAAUUUCAAUUAUGGUGAUAAGGUUCUCAAGAUUCCACCAGUUCUUCUUAGCUUCAUGGUAUUCAAAGCAAACUUUAUCAACUAAUUCAUGUUAUUUUUUUCAUCUGGUCAUAAUUUACAAGUUGUGUCAAUCAAUCUAUCACUAAAUUCAUCAUUGGGUUACCUUGUUUGCCCCUUUCUAAAUUAUUUUCUCAUGCUUCUUUCUAUUUAUCUCACCUUGAUUUUUUUUCAAAAGAAUGGGAAACUCUUUAUGAAAAAUAUUAUUCAUUUAUUUACCAUCAUUCAAAUUAGUGACAGACAUGAUGCAUUUUUUUGGUUCAUUCAGAGAAUGUUCAUUUGAUAAAAGAUAAGAAAAAUGGAUCUUUGUUAUUGAAAUAACAGAAAGUAAAGUCAAAAACAACUCAAGGGUGAACAAAGAUAAAAUACUGUGAUUUAUUCAAAUAGGACAUUAACAUCCAAAAUAAUGAUUGCUCUUUAAACUCAAAUUUAAAAUCAUCUUUUGAAACAUAUUCAAUUAACAUCUUCAACCUUGGGCUAAUCAUCAUCCUUAUUUCGAGGACUUUCACAUGAAGUUAUUUAUUCAAGUUUUCAUCUUCACUUAAAUCGCCUUUUUGGGUUCUUAGUUUAAGUCUUCUUUUUUUCUCUUUUGUCUCUUUUUUAAUUUUUUCCCUUUUUUUUGUUUUUUCUUUUUUUUUUCUCAUUUUUUUUUCUCUUUCUCUUUUGUUGACACUUUAAUCAAAGCUUCAUACAAUCUAAUGGCAAACCCGCCACAAUUCAAUUCAUGAUUCUCUAAAUCAAGUAUUUACAUUUGAUCAAAAUGGGCUUUUAAAGAAUGUAUUGUAGGCUAGGGUAAAAAGUGCUAAAGAAAAAAAAAUAAAAUAGGCCCAAAUUGUAUUUGGAGGAUAAUUAAACCAAAGAUCAUUUUUUCUUAUGGAGCACAUUGGUGUUUUGCCCCAUAAAAAAUUAUUUUUUUCUUCUUCUUCUUUCUUUGUUUGUUUUUUCUUUUUUUUGGUGAAGCAUAUUGGCACUUUGUCCUAUCAUUUUUACUUUUUUCUUUUUUUUUUUGGGUGAAGCACAUUGGCAUUUUGCCCUAUCAAUUUUUUAUUUUUUUAUUUGUCAAGAAAACUUGAUCACAAAAGGGUUUUGCCCCUAAAGAUGAAAAAUUUCUCAAACUUUACCCUUAGUGUGAGGGUGAUCCUUGGUUAGGGUUUUUCGAAAAAAAUUUUCAAUAAGCUCAAAUGGGGUAGCAAGGGAUAAUUUUAUUUUUUGAAGGAUAGAAAAAAAUGGUCAUUUCUUAUUGCAAAUAUGAAUAUUCUCAAUGAAGAACAUUCAUUGACUAAGAGCAAGCUUGUGAGUGAACAAUCAUAAAAAUCAUGUGUCACAUCAUUUCUAAAAUUUUUCAUUAGAUUUAUCUUUUUUUUAUUUAGUAGUCUUAAUGAAUCAAUAAUCUUUAUCUAUCAAUCAAAUCAUCAUGAAUGAUGUUUUCAAAAUCGAAUCCUGAAUUAUCAUCCUGACUAUCUGAACAUUCUUUAUUUGGAAUUAAAGAAUGGAUAUAUGAAAAGGUAUGAGAAGGUAAAAGUAAAUAAUGGUGACUUAAACAAAAAAAUAUCAUGAAAAUGCAUCAUAGCUAUCAUUUUUAUUAAAAUGAUGAAAAUAAACUGAAAUCUAAGCUCAUAAAAGAGAUUCAUAUUCUCAAGAAAUCCUAAGAUGAUAAUCAAUUUCAAUUAGCCUUCUCAAAGUCAUACCUCUGGAUGAUUGGGCAAAGAGUGUUUGUAAAUAUUCAGCUCUCUUGAUUCUUUGAAGCUUAUCGAGCCUACUCGAAUCAAACUUUAUAUCUUAUACUUGAAAACAGAGCAAGUUUCUAUGGAGUGACCCACAUUCCCAUUAUGAUAGUCACAUAUGGCAUUAACAUUGUACCAUUUGGGAUAGGGUGGCUUUAAUGGUUCUAAAAAAAACUAAAGAUAUUAUGUCAUUCUUGACCAGUUCUAAAAAUAGCUCAGUAUAGGUUAUGGGGAUAAGAUUAAUAUGAACUCUCUUUUAAUUUUCUAUGGAUCUUCUUAAAUCACUCAUUUGAUUAUUAGACCUUAAAACUGGUGUAGUAAUAAGAUAAAGCCCAUAUGCAAGUGCUUGAAAAGCUGGUUGAUGAAGACUUAGAGUGGCAUUAUUCAUGGUUGGAAGAUAAGGCUGGUAAAGAAUUUAUGCAACAUUAUUGGCUAUUGGAUAGUAAGCAAGAUGAACACAUGAUAUAUAUGAAGCAUAACUUUUGAAUUAUUGUCUUUCAAAACUCACCAUUUGGGCUUCAUAUUCUUCUCUUUUAGGUAUCCUACCUUCUUUAGCACUGUUGGUCUUUUUUUCCUUAAGCUUACCACUUUUGAUGACAUUUUUAAUAAUCUCUCAUGAAAUCACCAAAUCGAUAAAAUUUUUUAUCACAUUUCCUAUCAUCUUCUCAUAAUAAGGUGACUUUAGAAUGCUUACAAACAACACUAUUGUUUUUUUUUUUAUUAGGGGAGGCUGGACCUGAACAGUAGUAUCUUGUCACCUUUGAGCAUAUUCUUUAAAAGAUUCAGAUGCUUUUUUCUCCAUACUUUAUAACGAAAGACGAUCAGGAGUCACAUCUAUGAUGUGACGAUACUGAUUGAUGAAUGAUUGAGUUAAAUUCUUUCACAACUUAAUACGAGUCCUAUCUAACUGGACAUAUCACCUUGCAACAGACUCGAUUAAGCUAUUCUAGAAUACAUGCAUUAGUAGUUUCUCAUUACUGACAUGUGCUGUCAUCUUACGAUAGUAAAUUGUGAUAUGUAUAAUAGGGCAUUUAGUACCGUCAUACGUCUCAAAUUCUGAUACUUUGAAUUUUGGAAAAAUCACAACAUCUGAAACUAGGCAAAGAUUAACAGUAUCUAUGGAUCUAUAGAAAUCAAUGCUCUUUAUAACCCAUAAUCUUUCUUUAAUCAUACUCAUGGCUUGAUCGACCUUAGAGUUUUCUGGGGGUACAGUCAUCUGUAACUUUUUUUUCUCUUAGUUUCAUCCAUUUUGGGAUUUUGGAUUGGCUCAUCUGCUUUUUCAGUAAAUACAAGAUUGGUAUAGCUUUAACAUUUCUUUUAUUGAAAUUUGGGAAUAUGGUCUGUUGUUGAUGAAAGUUUAGAGUGGUCUAAGUCUGAUGUAGAUCAAAACCUGAAAGAUAUACUGAUUUAGUAGCUUUCUGUAAGAUAUUUUUUUUUGUUGCCUUUCCUCUAUUUUUUUUCUAGAGCCUCUAAGAUUUUGCUUAAUUUUCCUUCAAGUAUCUCCUAGGCCUCUUAUAUUCUUUCAAAUAGGUCUAUAUUGUCUUGCUCCAUUUUUUUGGCUCUAGCUUUAGUGUAAUACUAGUAUUGAUCUAUCCUUGAACCUUGAUUUCUCAUAAUUAUGGUGUAAAUUUAGAAUGAUGUUUAUGGAUCUAUCAAAUUAUGCAUGAAAAUGAAUGCAAUGAUGCAUGAAUGCAUGUAUACAUAAAAAAGGGUUAGUAAGCAUAAUCUGUAAUCUGAUGUAUGUUUAUAGAUAUGCAUAAAAAGAAAAGAAAUAAAAAAAAGAUAAGAGAAUUGGUUAGUCAUCUCAAAUAAAAAAAAUAAAGAAUAAACACCACAAAGCAAGUAAAAUAGCAUCAUGACUCUAGAUUUUGGUUAACUACAAAGGGUGGAAGGACAUAGCUUUAUCUAUGGUUAGGCUCUUAAAGUUAACUAUAUGUGGUUUGGAUAGCCUCUAAAAGGGUUCUUCAAAUUGUUUCUUAUAUCAUAGUCCUAUCACAUACUAGUAAGGGUACUUGUCGGUAGACGAUUUUGUUUGUCUGCCCGAUGAUUGAAAAACAAAUAAAAAAUAACGGAGUUGCAUCAACUUUUUUGGCUAGGUGCCAAUUGGCCACCUAUUAAAACAUAUCCUUUAAUGAAAAUCUUAAAAUUAAUUUAAAAGUUAUAAAAUUUGAUAAUUAUAGGCUACUGUAAUGUCUGGGUUCGGGAAAGUCAAUUAUGUGUGGGAAGAUUAGCACCCCCACAAUUAUCCGUUUAAAAUGGUACCAAUUAAUUAUUAUUAUCCGUUUGAUUUUGAUAAAAAUAUCUUAUUUUUAGUAUUUUGAAAAAUAAUUUUCCUGAUUUUCUGUGUUUAUUGAAAUUUUGAGUUCUUAUUAUUGUUCCAUAUUAUUGAUUUAUUUUUAUUCAAGAAAAAUAAAAUUAGAACCUUUUUAUUGAAAUAAUUUUUAAAAUGUCCCAAUACAUUGGUAACAUCAGAAGAACUCUUUCUCACCUAGAGAUUUCUUAUGCAUCACUUCUUAGAAUACCUUAUAAUCUUAUCAUCGGAAGUUCAAAUUUACUUUUCGUAAAAAAAACUAUGUUGUGCAUACAAUGCAAAAACACUAACAUGUUGAUGCACACAUUUUAUUAUUUCCUUUAGAAAUUUUAUUUAUAUUUUUUAUGGAAUUAUUGUUUUUAUUAUUGUUUUAUCGAGAAAAAAAGAAAAUUUUAUCAUAUUGAAGAUUUUUAUAAAUAUUCCAAUACACUGAUAAUAUUUAAGAAAAAUCUUCUCACUUAAGGAUUUCGUAAAGCAUUACUAUUCGGAAUACUUUAGAAUCCCAUCCUCGGAUAAAAUUUUCUCUUUCCUCAUUUUUAUUUCUAUUCCCUUAUCACUUUUUUUUUAAUAAAUUAGUUAAUUUUUACUUUACUAUUUUUAUAAAAAAAAAUAUUGUGUUGGAAACUUUUUAUAAAUACUCCAAUACACUAGUAAUAUUUUUAAAAAAAAAUUUCACCUAAAGAUUUUAUAGGUAUCACUACUCGAAGUACCUUUAAAUCUCAUUCUCAAAUAAAUUUUUUUUUCUUACACUUUUAUUUAAUUUAUUAUUAUUAAAAGGUUUAUUUUUAUUAUUAUUUUUUAAAGUUUAUCUUAAAUUAACAAAAUUAUAAAAAUUUUAACUAUAUAAAAUUUAUUUUAACAAAUUUAAACAUUUUAAUAUGCAUAUACAUUAUAAAAAUAAUAUAUAAAAAAAUUUAAAAAAAAUUUUUUUUUUACCUGAAUCGGACCGGUCAACGGUCUGGUCAACACGAGUUUGAUUAGUUCGAUCUGAUUAGGUUGGUUCACCGUUAGCAGUUCAAGGACGGUCUUGUUCAGUCUGGGUUGGUUCAACUAGAUCGAUUAAAGUCAAUGAAAGAAGUAAGUCACAAGUCGGGUGCACGGAUCUCGGGUCGGGUCAUGGGUUGACACGUAGAUCUUCAAGGCUCAAAACGGCAUCGUUUUGGUCUUUAUUAAAACAAUGUUGUUUUGGUUCUAACGGUUUAUAUAAAAGGCUCAAAUUUUUUUUUCAGUCUUUCUCUUCUCUUUAAAAAAAAAAAAAAAAGCUCUUUCUUCUCUCUCAAUCAAAACGUAAGGUGGUUGGCUGAUUGCCAUCACAGCCAUCGCUGUUGUCAUUACAAGUCAUCGACCACCGUCGUCGGUGAUCGAAAAUUUUUUCAAAAAUAUUGAAAUGCUCCCUACAACCUUUAGAGUCCAGAUCUAAGCCUAGUUUUACGAAAAUAGGCUCUAAACGAUGUAAAUCUAUCCUGGAAGGUUCGAUCAAAAUUUUUUUUUUGUGUUUAUGUUGUUUUUUCGUUUGACAUUGUGGUCCUUGUUUCCAGAGGCUAAGUUUUGUUUGUGUUUUGAUUCCUCUCUUUUUUUUUUUCACAAAUAACUUUUUUUUUAAUUUGGCAAUGCUUUUUUUUUUGUUUUGGAUCUCUCUAUUUUUUUUUUGCAAGUCCUCGUGGUUUUUUUCUCAAUUUUUUUUGUAGGUAACAAGCUUUAUUUAUAGAGUUUUCUAGGAUUCAAAUCUCAUAUUUUUUUUAGAUUUAAAUCUCAUAUUUUGGUUUUUUUUUGUGGCAAAACUAAUGCUACCAUGUUAGAUAGAGUGUCAGAAAGCUGUCGGCAGCUGGCGGUGGUCGUAAUUUUGGACUUUAGGGAGAGUGCAUUUAAUACACUUAAAUUUUUAUCAAACUGAAUCGAAAAAAAAAAAAUAAUAAUAAUGGUAAUAAUAAUAAAAAAAUAUAAAAUGGUGUUUACAGCACCCUGAUCUUCGCCCAUCAUAGGCUACAAGCGAAAAUGGUCCAAUCUGUGUGAGAGUAUUUCAUAAGCCUAUGUAGAGAAAUAAAAUCUCACGAGGGCAUAAGUGCUUCACUUCCUCCUAAAGAUAGAGCCCAAAUAGAGGGCUUAUGUUAUGCACAUACAAAUGAAUGACAGAUAUAUACAAUAAAUAGAUAAUUAGGCAAAUAUAAAAAUGAAAAAUAACCAGGUAUACAUAAUGAAAAUGAAAAUAAAUAAUAAAUGGCUUAUGUUAUGCACAUGUAAAUGAAUGACAGAUAUAUACAAUAAAUAGAUAAUUAGGCAAAUAUAAGAAUGAAAAAUAAACAGGUAUACUUAAUGAAAAGGAAAAUAAAUAAUAAAGUAGAUGUAAGCAAUAAAAGGGAAUAAAAUAAUUUCAAACUUAUUAAGCAAGGCUUGGAUAAUAAGAAAUCAUUUACUGGCUUGAUUCUUAAUAUCUCCAGCGAAGUUGUUAAAUUGUUAUAAUGUAUAGAUCUAUAGACCUAUCGCUAGAAACAGAUUACGAGGAGUCGCCAUCAAUCUUUUUUAGUUAGGUGUGAUUGGCCACCUAAUUGAAGCUGAUCUAUAAAAAAAAAGUUAGGUUCGGAAGUCGAUUGCGCAUGAGAAAUGUUGUAGCACCCCCAAAACAUUCAUCCAAGGAAUGAUACCAGUUUGAUUUUGAAUUAUCCAAGCCUUGAUCAUCAUUAUUUUUUUUUUUUGCUUUACCAAAUAAUUUAUUAAUUUUAUUAGAGCAGUAAAACUUUUCAAUUUUUUUGUUUAUUUAUUUAUUAUUUUGAAAACAUUAUUUACAAAUAUUUUUUCUUUUUUUUUUAAAAAGAUUUUUUUUAAAUAUAUUUUUUAAAAAAAUAUCAGUGGCAGAAAUAUUUUUUUUGUUUUUUUAAAAUAAAAACCAAAAAAUAAAAUAAUAAAAAAUGGGUUAGAAAUAAAAUAAAAUCAAAUCAAAUCAAAAAAAUAAAAUAAAACAAAAAAGAAAAAACCUGCAAUCGAAAAGGGUCAGAACCAGAUUGGCGCGCGGGUCUUCAGGUCAACACACGAAUCCUGACUUAUCCAAAAUGGUUUCGUGUUAGAGAAGUAUAUAAACCACACCACUUGACUUUUUUUCAAAAUUAUUUGAGUAUGCCUCUCUUUCUAAAAUAGUUAUUUUUUUGUCUUUUCUCUAAUUGAUUUUCAAAAAUUGAUGAAUAAAUCUCAAAUGCUGAUAGAAAAUUUUUGAAAACCCAACAAAUUAUCUAGAAAGUAAAACCUCGAAAUCUCUGGAAUGCAAAACUCUACAAAAAUUCAAACCCAAAAACACCAAAUCUCAAUCCUAAAAAAUCUAAACAAAUCAAACCCAAGACCUAAAACCUCUUAGUUGCUAAUCAAACUUCUUCUUUUUUUCUCUCUAGAGUUUCUGCAUAAUCUCUUUUUUUUUUCUCAAGAGUUUUUUUUUGCCUUUUUUCUCUCUUUUAAGAGUUUUUUUUUUUUUUGCAUAAUUUUUUUCCUUUGCUUUGAUCACAGGUUUAUAUAGAGGUUCAUGCUUAAUAAAUUCUCCUUAAAUCCAUGAUUUGUUUGAUUUUCGUCUUAAUGAUAAUUAAUUUUGAAAUCAAAUCCCAGAAAUCUCUCCCUAUAUUUUAAUGUGAAUUGAUUAUGAAAUUAAAUCCCGACAAUCUCUCCGCAUCAAAUGUCAAUUGAUUCUGGAAUUAAAUCUUACAAAUCUCUCAACCACAGUUAAACUUAAAAAAAAAAUACCCAUACAAAAUAGGGUAUCUAUAGCGCUAGUUGCAUUUCUUGCUUAUAGCAUAAUGUAGAAGAAGCAUUUACUGUCAAAGAGAUCUUAAACUUUGAGUGUGCUGUUCUACUUUCAGGUAAAAGCAAUGGAGUUAUUCCUGAAAAAGCUCCAGCUAAUACAAUAUCACCUUUUGAUCAAAUACCUGAUAUUAAUGUUCGUCAAUGAUAUGUUUUUCUUGUCCCUCUAUGGCCAUAUAUAAAAAACAUAUGGCCUUUAUUUUUGUAUACUGACUGCAUAACAGCUUGGUGAACCCUUAUUUAUUCCUUGAUUAAGUUAGCAAGAAGCUGUUCAUAUUCUAUAUGUAAUUCAGGCAUACAAUGGCUAAGCUCUUCUUGGAAUAAUCUAUCAUAAAAAUUUUUGUUUGAAAAAUCUGAAGGUAUUGGCAGAUUGUACUCUGCUAAAUAGCUAAAACUUUUGUUAAAAAGGCUUUCUAAAAUAAUGAGAACUUGCUCUUUAAGGUAUGGUUUAGGAAUUCUAUAAUUAGAUAUUCUAAAAUCUUGUUUAAGUUGGUAUUCUACAUAUUCAAACAUUAGUCUUCAAUUCUUUUCAAACAACUGUAAGCGGUUGCUUACCUCACAAAAUGUUAUCAUGAUAAAGAAUAAUUGGCUCAUUUUUAAUCGGAUGCCCAUUUAAAAGCUUGCCUUAAUGCAUCAUCCCAUUCUGUAUCAUUCCUUAACAAUCCAAAAGCAUUGCAUGCUAAUUGAAAAGUUUUAUAUGUGAUGCCAUUAAUUGCUCUCAAUUCUUCAUAGUUUCUUACACCUUUUAUGACGUUUACUAAUAGUCAAAGGUAACAUAAUUCACCAGUUGCUGGGUGAAAAAAUUUAAUUCUCCCAAUGGACCAACCAUUCUUCUUUUUUGUCCACACUUGUGUGUUUGCAUACUGUACCCAUUUAGUAGGAAAUUUUGAAUAGGUAAGAGACCUUAAAUGUGUGUAUUUUUUUUUUAGUUUUCAUCCACCCUAUAAACAUUGUUUUUUAUAUCCCAAGCCUUUGAAUAAUAACAGCUAGACUAUCAGUAUCAUUAAAGCAACAAUCUAUCAUUUUGGCAAGUGAAUAAUUAGUCUUUGGACAGAUGGUUCACGAAAAUGGAUUAAAAAGUCAAAUAAUUUCAAACAGGUUUUGUAAGUUAACAAAUAUCUACAAUCAAUAUAUUUUUAAUUUUAUCAAUUUUUUCAUUAAAAGGAGUUUUUUAUUUGGAAUUUGUAUUUGUUGUUGCACAAUAACUCAUACUCUAUCUGAGCCUUUGUUUAUAUACUUAAAUUAAUGCUUGAUAACCCUUAACUUAUUGCAAACUUCAACAUUUACUCCUAAUUGAUAUUUAACUGUCGAGUCUAGAUUAUAAAGAACAACCCAUCUAUUAUUAAGCUUAAUUCCAUUUUUUACAACAACAUGAUUCCCAAAUAAAUACUCUCUUCUUUUAUAUAAAAGGAACUUAUCAUCAUCAAUAAUAAUUUCUUACAGAACUAUUUAAGAUAAUUCUUUAUGCAAUAUUGUUAUGCAUACAUAGAGUAUUACAACAAAUUGUACCAUACGGUCCAUGAAUCAUGUAUUGUAUUGGAUCUUUUUUUGUUUGGGAUUUCAGCUAAAAUAAAACUUAUCUACGUCAGAAGAUGUAAUAGCUUAUCAUCCUUAUGCAACCAUAACAAAAUGUGAACAUGGGGUAAUCCUCUUUUUUGAAAUUCUACAGUAUAAAUGGUUAGAAAAAAAACCAUUAAAUCAAUUUAAAAAAAAAGAUUUAAACUUUAAAUGAAGUAAGUUAACAUGGAUAGGAAAAGAGAAAAAAGACAAAAACUAUUCAGUUAAUGUUUUUUAGUUGUUAGAAAUGAACCUGCAAUAGUUUUCUAAAAUGAUGUUUUUUUGUUAAGUUGCCAUAAGAUGGUGAAUUUUAAUCUAAAUAUUUUGUAAAAAAAUUUGGUCGAUCUUCAGCUCUUUGACCAGGAAUAAAGUUAAAGCUUAUUGUAUUUCUUACCAUUUAGGAUUACAAUUAAAUAUAAUGAAUAAAUCUGAGAAUCCAUAGAAACAACAAAUGGCUAAAGCAUCUUGGUAAUUUUAAAAUAUAUAUCAAGGGCCAGUUGUAAAUUAUGCAGAAAGUAUGAUAUGUUUAUUGUCACCCCUGCAAACUGCAUCUUUAAUUCCUUCAUAAACCUCAUAUUUCAUUUGUUUUUAAUUCAAUUUGAUAUAAUCUAAUCUAUUACUUUCAACAAUUGCAAAGGCUAAACCAAAUAUUGGUGAAACAGUUUCCUGCUCUUAAUAAUGUACUUUGGUGUGAGAGACGUUGUUGAAUCAUAUAGGUAAACUGUUCUCUCAUUGUAACACAUUUUCUUUUAAUUUGUCUUUUAGCACCACAUGACCUAUACUUAAUUCCAAUUCUAUAACCAUCUUCACCGUAUGGAAACAACAAAAAGGUAUUACAUCACUAUAUAUAAUGGAUGUAAACUGCUUAUUCGUUGAAAACCUUCAGAUCUAUAUUCAAUAGUAUAUCACGUUGAUUAAUCAAUUAUUCUAAGUCUCAAACAAUUAAUCCAGUAAUCUUAGGAGUUGUUGGAGCUAUAUAAGUUCUAUCUUGAUCAAAUAUGUUCCUUAACAACCUCAGUCUAAUAUUAGAUACUUUUGAAUUAAUAGAUCUAUCUCUAAACAUUUUGAAAACUUUAACAACUUCAUUAUGCUGGUCAUGCGUAUCUAACAAACCUCAAAUCAAGCUGUCAUCAACACCCCUAACAUUUUGAUCACAAUUUAAAGUGGUUUUCUUAUUUUGAAUUUUAUUCUCUGCGUCAUAAAUGUACAAUUGUACAAAUUAAGGCUUUUAACUUGGUUAUGGAGUCAAAGAUCCUAACCUAUGAUAGUUUUGGCACUAAUUUUGAAAAUUUAAGGCCUUAGUUUCAUAUUUAUUAAAUGAUCAACUUUUGCACUUAAUGAAUUAAACUAGAACAUUACUUUAUAAACUCUAAUAUUUUCUCUAAAAACUAUAACUUUGCCACGUAUUUCAUAAUUUAGCAAUCUAUAUAAGAAUUUUGGUGUAGGCUUUAGAGUGGAAAGGUGAACUCAACCCUCCCUACAAUAUUAAAAAAAUGUUGGAUGUUGACUCCUCAUAGAAUGUCGACUCUCUCAUCAUACCACAUCAAAACUCCACAAAUGGACAUGCACAUGUUAGGCCUUUAAAGUUAACAUAUGUUGUAUAUGUUCCUAAAGUUUUUUACAAACAACAAUAGGAUAGUGGAUUUGUUAAAAACAUAUCUUUCAUUUACUAAUCUAAUAAUUUAAUAUGUUUUUGAAAUCAAAUCUACUUACUUGAAUAAGGUUGUUGGUUUUCUUAAGUAGUUGGUUGAUUAGGUGAAAUAUGCCUAAUAGGUUGGUUGCCUACAAAAAUUUUCAUCAAGCAAAUUAGGAUUUUAUUUCAAAGGAAGGUAAGUUUUUUCAAUAAUUUCUCAACUAAAUAUCUUUUGGUAUCUUAAUUAUGUACCUAAUUAAUAAAAAGGUAUAUUCUUGAGCUACUACUACAGGUUCUGUCAAUAACCAUUGUAUGCUCAUUUGAAUCAGUGUUGCUUAACACAACAGAGUUUUUUUCACCAUUUGAAGAUUGAGAUUCAUGUACAUUUAAUUCAGACCUAAUUGAAGAAUCUUUAAUGUACAACCUCUAAUUUUGCAAGUUGUUAAAUGAUGAAGGGGUGUAUUUCCUUUUCCUCCUUUCUUUUAAAAUUUCAUAUCUAAUAACUUUGUUAUUUCUACUUGAAACUACUUUAUCAAAUUUCAUUUCAAUUGUACAUAGAAAAUGUAACAAAGAAUUAACAUCGAUUCGCAUCAUAUUGGGAUAAUAGCUCAAAAUCCAUUAUCAUAGGAAAAGAAUCAUCAUUUGCAACAACAGUUAAUACCGGAUUUCAUCAACUUACAGAAAAAAUAGAAGCUUUGGUUUGAAGUUGUUGGAAGGAGGCUACAUAAAAUUCAAUGUAAAACUUUGUAAGUCUACUUUAUAAAUCUCAUAAGCUUAGCAUAUUAAUUGAAACAUUAUACAAAGAAUCAAACUGCUUAAACAAUUUCAUUAUAAUUUUUGGUAAAAACUGGAGAAAAAAUCGAUUAAAGAUAUCCUAAUGAAACAAUAACAAUUGUAGAUUGAUGUAUUUGAUUUUCUUUGUAAGAACAAAACCCUACAAGAAAAAAUGGUAACUACAAUAGUGAAUUUUUGAAAAUUUUCUCUAACACAACAACUACGAUAUGGGUAUUUUGUAACAAAUGAUAAAUUUUGAAAACAUGGAUUUACUUACCUGGGCUUGAAAAAACAAAGGAUUCGAAUGGCAUGGAUAACAAUGACCCAUCAGAAGCUUGAUUUUCUCACGAAAUUGGUAAAGGAAUGAACAAUCAUGUAUUUGAGGAUAUAAAUAGUUUGAAAACAAUUAAAGAGAGGAUUUCAAUGGGUAUGGAUUGAUAUGAAUCGUGUUGACCAUUUAAGGUUUUGAGAAAAUUUAAGGGAAUAUUAACAAACAUUGUUGUGGAUUCAAUGAAUUUCAAUAAACCAAAAAUGUGAAUAAUUAUUAGGGAUUUCAAAUAAAUAGGUUAGAUGAAUAAAUGAAAGGAAAGCAUAAAUUUUUUUGGAAAUCUUUUCAUUUUUUUACAAAUUAAUUUUGUUGAGAAAAAUUUGUAGAUCUAUUGAAAAAGUAUUAGAUUCAAGGUAUGGCUAAUGAAAUUCCAAAAACAUGAAGAAAGACCAUAGAAUCAGAACUAAGGAAAUUGAAGAAAAUCAUAUUUUUCAUUUAAUGAGUAGAUGAUUUUCCCUCUAGUAAUAAUGGAAAGAUUCAAAGAUUCAAAGCAUUUCUCACAAAUAUAAUAAUAAAACAAAAAUAUGAGGAAAUCGAGACCUUUCAUUGAAUGAUUCCAGAUAAAAAAAAAAAGGAAUUGAAUGGUUGAAAAAAAAAUUUAUAGAUAAAACACAUUAAGAGCUUUUAUUAUAUAGUUGAAAAGUAAAAAAAAAAUGUAUAGUUAUUUGAGAUGUUGACAUGUGUCAACAAAAUAGAUACCAAGGAAAAAAAUAGUAGUAUGUUAGAUAAUAUAAUUAUUUAAUUUGUUAAACCGAUGUUUCAUUUAUUUAUAUAAUUCUAUAAUUAAUUAGUUAAUCCUACAAUCCUAUAUAUAAUUAUUAGUUUAUUACUUGUCCAAUGUAUAAAUUAUUUUUAUUUAUUUAAAUGUAUUUUGAUAUAUAAAUUAAUAUUUAAUAUUUAGAUGUUCAAUAUAUAUGUAAACUAUAAAUAAUAUAAUUAAGAUAUCAAAACAUAAAAAAAAUUAAAAUUUUUAUUUAAAAGAAUUAAAAAUUUUAAAAUAUAUAAUAAUAUUUAAGGAAAGAUAAAAUAUCCAAAAGAUUUAUAUAUAAAUUGUAUUAUUGAGUACACCAACAAAAUAUUAAAUUGAAAACUAAAAGUUUCAUCAUUUAAAAUUAAUUUUAUUCAAUUUCUGCCAUAUCUAUAUUGUGUAAUAAUUUUUAUAUACAUGCAAGUUUAUAUAAUUUUAAGAUAAAUUUUUUUAUUUGAAAAAAGUAAUGAUUUUAAAUGUUUAAAUAGUAUAUGUGAUAACUUACUUAUAUGUACAUUUUUUGCAUGAAUUUUAGUAAUAUUUUGAUCUCUAACAUCUAUAAGAUUUGUCAAAUGAAUUCUUAUAAUUGUUUAAGCUUUACAUUUGAUGUAAAAUUAUGUUACUAUAAAAGUUAAAAUGAAAUAGUUUUAAAUUUUAAGUAAUAAUCUUGAAUUUUAAAAAGUUAUUUUAAAAAUUUAUUGUUAAAAGGUUUCAAUGAGGAAGUAUUAGUUUUCAUACAUAAAAUUUUAUAAUCAAUUUCAAAAGCAAAAACAUUUACUUUUUGUUUUUAAUACUUGCGUUUUGCUUCUGGAAACAAUCAAUAAUACUAUAAAAGAAUUAGAUUAUAAAAUUUAAUUUCAAAUGAAUAAACAUAAUUUUAUUUUUAUAUUAAACAAUUAUGUCAGAAUUAGUUAUGCAUUUUAGUUAUUUACCUUUAUUUAUAAAUUAAAAAAAAAAGUGCAACAAAAUCAACAAGUAAAAGUAAGCCUAUACAAAUUUUUUUAAAAUAAAUAAAUAAAACCAACAAAUAAUGCUUAAAUAAUUAAAUCAAUAUUUUUUACCUUCAAUUGUCAAAAUACUUUGGAAGAGUUAUUAUUGUAAUAGAUCAAUCUUCUUCCUCCACUCCAACAACCAUGAAUUGUGAAAAAAUUUCUAUAAAAACCAUGCAUACACUUUUGAGCAAACAAAAAAUAUUCAAAAUUUUCAUAAAAAUUUUUAAAAAUAAAAAGUAUUGAUUUUAAUUUUUUAACAUGUAGAUGCACAUAUCAUAAAAAAUAUAGUAAAUAAUUGUGUAUCUCAUAUAUAAAUAAGUUAUAAAAAUAUAAUAAAAAAUUUUGUAUAUCUCACAGGUUAAAGAAUCAUUUUUUAAAGCAUAAAAGUUGAAAAAAAUAAAAAAAAUAAAUUAACAUUGAGAGUAUCAUUAAAGAAUAAGUUAUCUUUUAAUGUUUGUAAUAUUCUAUCUUUUUAAAUUUAAAAAUAACCAAAUAAUAAAUAACUAUUAUGAAAUCUCUAAAAAUAAAAAUUAUAUUUUCAAAUUUCAAAUGAUAUAUAAUUUAAAUAUUAAAAAUCCGUUUCAUAUUUAAAUUUUUAGAUUUAAAAAGACGUAUAUUUAUACUAUUAGAAAACCUAUUUUAAAAGAUAAUUUAUCACUAUAUUUAAAAUUUUAAAUUAAAAAAAUAAAUUUUUAAAAAAUAAUAUAUUUAAAUUAGAUUUGUUGUUGACAAUUUAAAAAUAAUUGAAUUGAUCUUUUAGUUAAAUUUAAAACUUUUGAACAAUUAAAUAAAUUUUUAAAUAUAUAUUAUUUUAUAAAUAAUUUAAAAUUAAAAAAUAUUUAAUAUGUUAUUUGUAAAAAAUUUUAAAAUUUUUUUACGUAUCAAAAAACUAUCUACCUUGUAAAUCUUCACAUAAGCAAUUUUGUCAAAAUUUUAUGUAUAUUUUAAUAUAAUAUUAUAUAUGAUAUAUAAUGUAUUUUCUUUAUAUCUAUUUUUUUUAUUAAAGGAUAAAAACAAAGUUAAUGGAUUUCAAAUUCUUUAUAACUAUUUUUUUAUUAAACUUUCUUAACCACUAAGCAAAAAAUUGAAAACUUCUUUGUGCCUAUCUUAAAUGGGUAACGUGUUCAAGUCAAGUGUAUAUUAAUAAAUCAGUCUUAAUAUGCAUGCACCCAUCAGCAGCUCUUCUAUGUUCCAGUGUCAUUCUUUGACUUUUGAGUUCAUAGGAAAUUUCCGAGUGCGAGGCUACGGAAUUAUAUAUUUUUCGUUUUACUAAAAAUAGUUUUUUAAAAAUAAUUUUUAAAAAUUAGUUUAUUUUUUAAAAAAUUUGAUUUUUAUUUUUGUUGUGUGAAUGUUCAUCUUAAAAAAAAAUGUAUAUUUUGAAAAUUAACGACGACCCAAAAUGAUUUCUACAAAAACCACAGUUUUAAUGCCCUCCCCUUUGAGUUUCACAUUUGCCACCAAUAAAAAUUAGACAAAAAAGGAGAAAAUAAUAGUAAUUUUUAGCUAGCUAGUUAAGCGUUAAUGGAUAGUGAUAGCAAUAUGGAUUUUGUGAAGCUCGUUGGUGGCGUUGCGCUAGUAAUUUUGUUUCCAUCAAUAAGAGAUGCAGCAGUUCGAUAAAUUUUGUGCUUUCUCCAUUUCUACUAUAUUUUUGCCGAAUUUUCAAUUUAUUGAUGCUAUUGAUCAAUCUAAUUUUUAAAUACGAUUACUUUGAUAGGCUUUCGCUGCGAAAAGGUUAAGAAAUAGCAACUUGGUGAAAGUCUUAACCUUUGACCCGAAGUAAAGAACACGCCAGCAAGAGGACCACUAAAACCAACGGAGAUUCAAUUACAGUUUUGAAGUACACAACAUUCUGUACCAAGAGGCAUCCAGGGGAAAAUGAGUAGCAUCUUUUCCAAGUUUUUAAUUACCAUUUUUUUGCUGUUGUUACUGUCAUCAAAUUGUAGUGGGAUAAGAGAUGGAGAAGAUCAGAAAGCUGCCAACGAUACAUGUGUAAUGCGUUGUAGCGCCGCCAAAGAUACACACCAGAUCCAAUUAAGAUUCAACCAUUCGCAUGGGAAAGUUGCCCCCAUAAAUCUGGAUGGUAAGUAUAGUUUUAGUAGUAUUUCAUUACUAGUUUGUUUAUCAUUCAUCUUUGGAUUUUAUUCUAUUCUAAGUAGCGUAAAUGCCUAAACCCUAAAAAAAAAAAAGGAAAGAAAGAGUGCAGUAAUUCAUAGCAUUUUAUUUGAUCAUCUCCCGGUCUUAUUGAAUUUUAAUCAAGUUAGAAUUUGAUUUUACAGUUUAGUUGUUGAUUUGCUUUUAAUAAUUUUAAUUUUAGUUUUUUAUCAUUUAUUAUUGCUUUGUAAUAAUUUUUUUUGACGAGUAUUAAAAGAGAAGUCACAAAAACAACAUGUAACUACAUCUUGUAUUCUUACAUGGAUCAUAUAUCUUUUAUUCAAGAAAUUAUUACCAAAAUGGAUCAAGGUUUUCAAAGUGUUAUGUGAUUAUAUUAUUAUUAUUGAAGGUUUUUGUUCGAUUUCCAAUGAAGCCGGAUAUACCUGUUACAAGAGUACAAGCUGGAAUUAAUCCAGAAACAACAGUCAACUGAUUUAUUUUUUUUUAAUUACCCUUCCAUAUAGAAUGAACAAAAGCACAAUAGUUUUGAAUGCUAAAAAGUACUGAUUGCACCAGCUGCAAUCUUUUAGGACCCCAAAUGUUAAUUUUGUCUGCUAUCUUCCGUAUAAGGGGGUCACAAUGUUUAUCAGUUAGCCUACCAGCGAUUAAGGGUACACCUAGGUAACUAACUUGCAGCUGGCCAAGCUUAAAACCUGUUGUCUGUUGAAAUUUGAAUGUCCUGCAGCUGGCAUAAAAGAGCUCGGUUUUAUUGCUAUUGAGUAUGAGCUUAAUUUUGUUGCUGAAUGAAUGUGUGAUUAAUUCAAAAGAUCUCACAAAAUGAAGCUGCUGAACAUUAUUGCAGAUCAUUAUCAAGGUUAUGUGGCCAUCAGAAAUCUGAGUCCAAAAAAUUUACCAAUUCUUUGUACGGUCACAAAUUAUGAAACUGCAUUUACUGCGGAAAUCAAUGAGCUUAUCAGGAGAACCAAUGCGACCGUAAUUUGUGCUCUGCCUGCGAAAGAUAAAACAACAAUGGAAAACGAAUCUUCAACGAGUUACGUGUCUCGCCAUAUGUAUGACAUCACUCACCAAAUUGCUAGUCUACUUGGCAAUUACCAGUGGUUAAAGCCUGGAACGUUUGAUGGAGACGAGUUGGACAGAGUUAGUGACUUAGACAUCGUUGCUUUCAACUUGAAUAGCCGUCCAACGCAAAAUGCAGGUGGGAUUAUUCAAAUGGCUGCUACUUUAUCCUUUUCCACAUCCCGGCCACUUAAGUAUUUUACAGAGUUAAGCAUCGCCGUACUAGUAAGAGCGACUCCCAGGCAGUUUGCUAACACAAGUCUUGACGAAAACCACAUGGAAACACAUAUUACUGGGUUCUGGGUUGAUAUUUUUAAAGCAGCUGCUGCGAUGAUGGACGUCGAUAUCACCUAUAAACUGGUUCCGUUCAACGGAUCUGAUGAUCAAUUGCUGAAAAAAGUUGCUGAUUCGGUCAGUUUGUUCCUUGUAGUCUGUUCUCUUUUCCAGCUCUGCUUGUUUUCAGUCCUAACUCUGCCAUGAUGUAAAAUUUACAAAAAAUUGUAGGUAAAAUAAGGAAUUAAUAGAGAUAAAGUUUAUUAAUUUUAAGUCUUUUCAACAGCUUCGAAUAUACGAAUCUUAAAUGGAAUUAUAAGAGAAUCAACCACUUGAUUAAUUAACUAGCUUAGACUUGGUCUAAUAGUGAUUGUUAUGAUGUUACCUCUCUUAAAAAAAAAAAAAAAGAUUACAAAAAUUUUCUAUGUAUUAUCAAUUAGCAGCUGACUGAUUGAAAUUUGAAUUUUUUUUUUUUAUGUACAUUGAAGACUUACGAUGCAGCCAUUGGCUUAUCAGUAAUUACAGAAGAACGAUCCCAGCUUGUAGGAUUCUCAUAUCCCUAUUUUGGAGUAGGACCGGUGCUAGUGAUGAAGAAAAAUCUUGAAUUGAACCAAGUUUUUUCAUUCAUGAUCCCUUUCACCAUCGAGAUGUGGCUUACCAUGGCAUCUAUGACUGUUUUCACUUGUUUUGUUAUUUGGUUAGUUGAAUGUAGAGGUGGUAAUGAAUCUGGUGAUUUGCCUUUUAGACAAGUUAGAGCUAUCUUCUGGUUCCCUUUUGCGAUUCUCUUCUACGGAGUACAUAGUAAGAUAUAAUCUAUUGUGGUUAAUUUUAAAUUUACAUAUUUUCACCUUGUUCUUGAGUAUUUUAUAUGGAUAACAUCACUUACAGUUACCACACUACAUUGUAGAAUACAAGCACCUAGAAAUUUAACCCCGACACUAAUAGUAGGGUCCUUAGCUGUCUUCUGCUUCAUCUGCCACAAAAUACAUUAGUCUAGUAUCCUCCUCUCUACCCCAUAUAUAUAUAUAUAUAUAUAUAUACACAUACCUCCUUCAAGUUUCAAUCUUCCCUACCACUAUCUCAUUGCAUUUACUUGUUUGCAAAGCUACUUUAACCUAUACUUAGAACACCCUUCAUAUUAAAACAUGCAAGUGCAUUUUUAUAUGCUUUCUAUAUACUCAUGCAUAUGCAUUUGGAAGGCUCAAAGAGUCAUAUAAAUUUGAUUCAAUUUUAUAGCAAGUUAAAAAUUCUAAUUAGAAUUUGGGGGUAUAAGGCUAUCAGCACCGAGUAUUGUCAGCCCAUUUAAAAGCACUAAACCCAUAUUUUUAAGCCUACUACUACAUAAGGGGCUUUCUAAUGGGUUUUUUCUAAGAAGAAUCUCAAUUGAAAGACUAUUGGGAGUAAUUGAGGUUGUUGAAUUUCUGAGAUUUGAGUGCAUAUAUCUGUUAAUGAACAUUGGCUAAUAGGUCUCAAACACCUUAUCUGAAAAAACCUUAUCUAAAAGCCAAUUAGACAAUAUCAGGUGCACUUCUUCUACACCACUUAUGUUUGUAGGACUGCAACAGAUUUCCGUGGAAACUGAAAGUUCUGUCCAAUAAGAUUGAAUUACUGAUGGACAAAAUAAGGAUGUCCAUGUUUGCCGUUAAAGUAGUAUUAUACCACAUCUAAUAAACAUCCAAUAUCCUGUAAUCUUAUAUUUAAGUUGGAUCCCUACACUUAUAACAGUUUUGAGUUGGAUGUUUAAUAUGGUAUCAGACCUAUAGGUCCCUCCACUUGCAAUCAAUUAGUUUUAAGUUGGAUGCUUAUCAUUUGUAACUUAUUGGUUAUGAACUUUCAAAGGUGUGUGUAAAUACUAAAUAGAACGUAAAUAGGAACUUUUGGCAUGGCUUGAGGAGUGUUCAAUAAUGGAUGUUAUAGGGAAUGGCUUCUCUGUUGUGACUCUGUUUUUGAGUUUUUCUGGAACCGGUUUUAAUUUGGAAUGGGAAGGCAGAUAUGCACUUUGCUCUGUAAUCAACUUGUUAUGUCUAGUUUAUCAUUGCAAUUGUGAUUGAAAAUUAUAUUGAAAAAGUUGCAAAUUACAAUUUUUAUAUUGCAAUAUCAGCAAAGAGAAUAGUCCAAGAAUGAAGUUAUGCUAAUCAGUUAUUCAUAAAAUUUUCAUAUUGCAGGAGAAUCACCCAGGAACAGCUUAACCUAUUUUGUGCUUGCCCCAUGGUUAUUACUGAUUCUGGUUGUGGCUUCAACCUAUACAACGAGUUUUACUUCCAUGAUAACAAGCUCAGAGACUGAGACAUCUUGCUUAGAUAUAGAAGAUCUCAAGAAAACAAAUGCUAUUAUCGGUUGUGAUGAGGAUUCUUUCAUCUUCCAGUUUCUAGUGGAGUACCUUGGAUUUCAACCAAAGAAUAUCAAGAACUUUACUCAAUCUUCAAUCGAUGAUUAUGCGAAGGCUCUAUCAAGAGGAAAUAUAAAGGCUGCCUUUUUUUUAACUCCUUAUGCCGAUAUUUUCCUUGCAAAAUACUGCAAAGGUUUCCAGUCAUGGAAGCCAGCCCGUAACCUACGCGCUUCUGCAGUUGUAAUAUGAACAAUGCUCUUCAGUUCUUUUACUGGUUUUAGUUAAUUAACCUUGUUAAUGUAUUGUUCAAGCGUCCGGCCAUGUCUUUUAACCAUUUUAAUAUUGUAUUACAGGUGUUUCCACGGGGUUCUGCUUUAGUUUCAGAUAUGUCAGAGGGGAUGCUGCGAUUAAUGAGCAGCGGGAAAUUCAAGCAAAUGAAGGAAGAGAUGCUAUCUUUUGCGGAUUGUUCGAGUUCAACGAUUGAUGGCACCAUAAAACGAGGAAUAGGACCGGGGCCUUUCUCAGGCUUGUUUAUUUUAUCAGGCGGGGCAUCUGCAAUCGCAAUGUUAAUCACUGUGGUUCGUCCGAUGAAAAGACGUUGGGAGAGCUUCAUUCAGGGAAUGUUGAUGGGUAGAGGACUUUGGGUGUGGCUGACAACUCUGUUUUUUCAAAGCCAGAGGAGAAAUGAGCUUCAACUAUCAAGCAUAAGCUCCACUUCCCAGACACAACUCAGCAGCUCUUAGCAUAUAUAUUAUCCUGUAAACUAAGUACUAGUAAUUAGCUAUCAAACAUAUAUAUAUAUAUAAAAAAAAAAAAAGAAUCCAGGGGUUAGAUUUCAUUUCCCUUCGCUUUGAUUAGCAUUAUUACACGAGUUGCCACUGGUCCCUGGACCCAUAUGAUAAAGGAGAUGUGAAGUAUAUAGCUUGCAUGUUUGUCAAUAUUAAGUUUGUGUAUCUCCAGAAUGUCUCUGAUCUAUGGGAUGAAUAACAUCGUGAACUAUAUGAAGCAAAGAAUAAUUCCGGGGAAGAGGAUAUAGUUUCAGAACGAACUGCUGGCUAAGUGCCGGCUGUACGUCUGUCAGCAACCAAUAAGAAUAAAGUCAAACCAUAUAAUUUUUCUUAUUAAAUAAAAGAUCGAAACACCGAGAAAGGUUUAAUGUUGACCCAAAAUUGGUUCUUCCAUACCACUUGGCUUACAAAUUGGUUCCAUUUUAUGGCUUUUGUGACAAUUGGUGGAGGAAGUUACCGGCAAUGUCAGUAUCAAUUUUCUUUCGAGCACUCUAUUUUUUUUAGUCCUGCAAAGAAGAUUUCAUAAAGAAUCUAUGCUACGAUGGACCCACUGAGGCCUGGAAAGAUUCUUAUGGGAUUUGAUUAUGAUUUCGAAAAGUUUUUUUCUCAAAAACCAUUUUUACAGUAACUCCUAGUCGAGCCAAAUAAGCCUGUGGCAAGUCAAUUUUAUCAAGAACAAGCAAUCACUCUACAUUCUCUGUCCUAAAACCCUUUCUUUAUUUCAAUUCAUCAAUAUUCUUUUACCAACAGAAAAUUUAAAAUAACCAAUAACAUCGAGAGUAAGACUGAUAAGAUUUUGUAAUUGUAGUGAAUGAUAGGUUUAGGAAAAAUCAAAACUUUUAGAGAUGAAUUAAGAAAGAUAUGAACAAAUCAAAAUUUCUAAAGAUAAAUCAAUAAAUAUAUGGAUACAAAUAAUACGAAAUAAUAUGAGAUUUAAAAAAAUAGAUGAAAUUAUUGUCUUUUUAUAAAAAUGAGUAAUAUAAAAAAAUAAAAAGCUACGAUCUAAUAUGAUUUUUUAUUUGAUGUUUUAUACAGUCAAUUUAAAGGUGUCAAAUGAGUUGUGUUGUGUAAGCUGACACAACUCAUUUAAAUAUUAGUCUAUAUUUUAAUAGAUCAUGUUGGCUCAGCAUUAUUUUUUUAACAUAUUAUGCUAAUAUGACACAUAACAGUUAAGAGUAUGGUCUUACACAGCACAUAGCCCGUAAUCUUGGGUCGUAUCUUGCCUAGUGCAACAUUAUUUUUCGUAUCAAGCUAGGCCAAGCACGGGCCCAUUAAUAAUUUUUAAAAUUUUAAUUACUUUUUAAAAAAUUUUUCAUCUAUUAUUAUGAAAAAUAACAUGUAAGAGAUAAUAAAUAUAGAAUGAAAUAAAAAUAAUACAUAAUUUACAUGGUUCAACAAAAUAUAUACAUUCACAAAGAUGAAUAACCGAAUCCACUAAAUAAAUAUAUUGAAAUUACAAUUCUAAUUUUUUUUAAAAAAUACACAUCAUCUAUUCAAUGUCCAGUAAUUUACAUAUAACUAAUAUUUUAUCGACAAAUCCAAUAUUAGAAGUAAGUGAAAUUCUAGAAAAAAUUUAUGAUAAACUAAAUAUUAAAAUUUUUUUAUAAGAAAAAUAUUUUAAAAGUAUAUGAUCUAACAGUAUUUCUUAAAAUUGUUUUAUAAUUAGAUAGUAUAUCAUUUUCAAUUAAAUUAUUAAAACGUUCAUCAUCUACAAAAAACUAAUGAUUACUCAAACCACAUUAAAAAGUUAGCUAAUUAAUUACGUCAAUUAUUUUGUGAAAAAUCAAAUGUACUUAAAGACCCAUUAAAAUGCUGACUAAGUGUAGUUUAUGUGAGAUCAUUGGAAGCAAUAAAUGCAAUCUCGUGUUUUUCUUAUGUUUUUAAGAUGAUCAAUCCCUCUUGUUUUUUAACUAAAAUCUUUUUUAUAUAUAUGUUAUAAGUUUUAGGUUUUGUUCAUAUAAUUUUGAAAAAAAAGUUAAUUUAUUUUUAUAUACAUAAAUUUAAACAAAUAAAAAUAAUUCGUACAUCGAAUGGUUCGUAAACUAUUUAGAAAUAAUUUAUUUAUUAAUAAUUUAAAUAUUUAAUAAGUAAAUUUAUUUAAUAUAAUUUUAUUAUAUAAAUUACCAAAAAAUAAAUAUAAUUUCAUUAAAAUAUAAAAAAUAAUAUGAAUACACUUAAACGCCAAAACCCAUUUAUAAUAGUUAUGGGCUAAUAUAGCACGACAUAUUUAGGCUUGUAUAUCAUGUCAUGCUAGCCCAUAUGUCACGUGCUAGUACUGGUCUUUAAUAGGCCGUGCUGUGUCAACUUAUGGGUUUAAAAACUUUUAAUCCAACGUGGUACACAUAUAUUUAUCGUAUUUGGCUUAAUCCAAUUAUUUAAUAGCAGAUUGUGUUAAGCAUAACUUGUAUCAAACCUAAUUAUAUCGUGUCAUGAGUCAUUUGAUCUAUUUGAUAGCUCUAAGUUGAUUAUAAAACUAUAGAAUAUAAAGCUUAAUUUUUUGUUGUUGUUGUUACUGUGAAGGCUUUUGUUACAGUUGCUGGCAGUAUAGUGGUAAAUUUUGGCCCCGUGCUAAAUUAUGGAUGGUGGUUGGUAAAGAAAAAAAAAAGACAAUGGAUUGAAUGGAAUUUUUUGGUUCACGACCCCUGUACUAGAGAGAUUUGGCUUAUAAUGGCGGCUAUGACUUGUAUACACCGAAUUUUGUCUAGGUCUAAAUCUUAUUUUCAAGUUAUGUUUAUUAAUAUUAAAAUUAAUAAUUAAUUAAACAUAUUGAUAAAAACUAAUUUUAAAAAAUAAUUUUUUUUAAAAAGGGGGGGACAAUGGUGCCGUAAACCCAUACCUUACCCUUGGUAGCAACUACCCUAAGACCCUGAAUCACCUACUCCUCUACAAUCCCAAGCCAUACCCUAAACCUUCACUAGCCACCACCUACUCUGCCCACUAUCCCAAAAAUUGGCCCCUUAAAGGAACUAUUCCAAACACCAAUCCCUCUCACCCCCAGCAUUCUACACCUUCUUACCCAGUGCCCAGGCCUUCGUUCGUGUGAGACUAGACCCCCAUUCGACCCUCACCAAGCUCCAAGCUCUCCUACGCCUAGAAACCCCAAGUCUCCCACACUCAAAAAGCCCAAAUCUCUUGGACGCCCAAAAACAAACCCUGUACCCAAAAACACCCAGCACUUAUCAGAAAGCAAACAAAAAAAAUAAAAAAAUUAAACAAUCACAAACAGUCCUCCCCGUAUGGAGGAACCAUCAACACCAAGCCCCUAAAAAAAUUGAAACUUUAAAUCUCGAUCUAUGCCGAUCGGGGCUGUUCCUGGCAUAAAGAAUAUUAGAUCUAGAAAGAGCGUGUUAAGGAGAAUUUUUGCAAGGUUUUAGCACUUUCUGACCACCUGUGGCGACACUAGAUGGCAACUAGUGUGGCGGCACGGGGGCUGGACGCCAGACGUUGGCAAAACCUUUGGAGCUCUCUGGAGCUCUAAAAUUUUUUUUAGUAGAAAAAAAGAAAUGAAGUAAAAAAAAUUUUAAGUUUUAUAUCGGGUUAAAGAAGCCUGAAAUGAUGCCAUUUUAAGAGGAAAGGAAUCGCGUAUACCCGUGCACAUGACCCAACCCAAGAUCUAUCGAUCUAACCCAACAAUCUGCUUCAACCAACCCUCAGCCAGUUCAAUUGAACCGUUUAUGAAACCGUCAUUUUUUCAGUCCAGUUGAAUCGGAGUUGACAGAACCAUUGAUCGGUCCGAUUUAGAUAAAUUUUUUUUAUUUUUUUAAUUUAUUUUUUAUAUAUUAUUUUUAGUUAAGCAUGCUUAAUUUUUUUAGAAUAAAUGUUUAUUUUUUUAAUAUUAAUAAUAAUAGUAAAUAACAAUAAUAAUAUUAAAUAAAAUCUAAAUUUUGGCAUUUUUAGAUUUCAUUAAAAAAAACUUAAAAUAAAACCUAAUAAAAUAACUAAAAAUAACAAUAAUAAGAGUGGAAAAUCAUUUCAAUUUUUUUUAAUUAUAAUAAAUUAUAAUAAAACAAUAAUAAAAUAAAUUAAUAAAUAAAAGAGUGUAAUAACCAAAUAUGUUAAAAAAAAAUCUUUUAAAAAAAUGAUAAUAAGAAUAAAGUGAUAAAAUUUUUUUUCUUAUCUAGAUGAUGGAGGGAAUAAAAAUCGUCUUUUAAAAAAAUAUAAUUUCGCCUAGAUGUUGGGGAAUUAUUAAAUAAUAAUAAUAUAUAAUAUAUAAUAUAUAAAUUAAUAAUAUUAAUAAUAAUAAUUUUUUAUAAAAAAUAUAUAUAUGAAAAUUUUUUAAUUAAUUUCCAAAAAUUAUAAAAAUUAAACUUACUUCAAAAAUUUGUCUAAAUGUUGAAGAUUUUUAAAGAUAUUCGCAUUUUCUUUAAACCCUAAAACCUUCCAAACUUUAAAACUAAAAUUCUAAACCUUUUAAACCCUAAAAUCAAAAUCAUAAAACCCUCUAAAUCCUAAAAUCAAAACCCCAAAAUCAAAACCUUCAAACACUCCAACCCCUAAAACUAAAAUCCUAAACUCUUUAAACCCUAAAAUCAAAAUCCUAAACUCCAAACCUUAAAAUCUAAACCUAAACCCUCCGAACCUUAAAUUUCAAAACCAUAAAGUCGAAGUCCUAAAAUCUAAACCCCAAAGACUUGAAACCUCAAACUUCCAAACCCUUAAAACCUUGAAAUCCAAAACUCUAAAAACUUCUAAACCCUUACAACUCUCAAAUUCAAAAUCCUAAAUCCUAAAUCCUUCAAACAUUAAAAUUUGAAACCCUAAACUUUAAAUUUUAAAACCCUAAAACAUCGAAACCCUAAACCUCGAAACCCUAACCUUAAAAUUAAAACCCUAAAACCAUAGACCCUUAAAACCCUAAAAUUCAAAACACAAAAAUCAUUCAAACACUAGAAUAUCAAAAACUUAAAAAACCUAGACCUUAAAACCCCAAAACCUUAAAACUCAUAACCCUAAAAAUCCACCAAGACCCUAAAUUUAACCUAAACCUUAAAUUAACAUGUAACCCUAAAUCAUCAUCAAACCUUAAAGCCCUUCACCCAAACUCAUGCCCAAAACCAUUCUAAAAUUCUAAGGAUAUGUAUGAAAAUCUCAUGUGAAGUAAUUUAUUCCCAAAUGCCACAUACAAGAUGGGAUAUUUAAAAAAAAAAAAAUUCAUUAAGUUUUUCGUACAAAUCCUUAACCCACGAUAAUAAUGAGAUUAAAAUAAAAAAUAUGUACACUGAAAUCUUAAAUAUAAAUAGUCGUACCAAACUCUACCAAAUACUAGGGAGUUAGGGUAGUCUCAUUAUAUUUACGAACCUAAUUUUAAGUUGCAUUUCAUCACCUUGCAUAACAUCUAUUAGCAUACAUACGUCAUCAUGUUAUUGUUGGCACUCAUUUUACAUUUCUCUAUCGUUANNNNNNNNNNNNNNNNNNNNNNNNNNNNNNNNNNNNNNNNNNNNNNNNNNNNNNNNNNNNNNNNNNNNNNNNNNNNNNNNNNNNNNNNNNNNNNNNNNNNNNNNNNNNNNNNNNNNNNNNNNNNNNNNNNNNNNNNNNNNNNNNNNNNNNNNNNNNNNNNNNNNNNNNNNNNNNNNNNNNNNNNNNNNNNNNNNNNNNNNNNNNNNNNNNNNNNNNNNNNNNNNNNNNNNNNNNNNNNNNNNNNNNNNNNNNNNNNNNNNNNNNNNNNNNNNNNNNNNNNNNNNNNNNNNNNNNNNNNNNNNNNNNNNNNNNNNNNNNNNNNNNNNNNNNNNNNNNNNNNNNNNNNNNNNNNNNNNNNNNNNNNNNNNNNNNNNNNNNNNNNNNNNNNNNNNNNNNNNNNNNNNNNNNNNNNNNNNNNNNNNNNNNNNNNNNNNNNNNNNNNNNNNNNNNNNNNNNNNNNNNNNNNNNNNNNNNNNNNNNNNNNNNNNNNNNNNNNNNNNNNNNNNNNNNNNNNNNNNNNNNNNNNNNNNNNNNNNNNNNNNNNNNNNNNNNNNNNNNNNNNNNNNNNNNNNNNNNNNNNNNNNNNNNNNNNNNNNNNNNNNNNNNNNNNNNNNNNNNNNNNNNNNNNNNNNNNNNNNNNNNNNNNNNNNNNNNNNNNNNNNNNNNNNNNNNNNNNNNNNNNNNNNNNNNNNNNNNNNNNNNNNNNNNNNNNNNNNNNNNNNNNNNNNNNNNNNNNNNNNNNNNNNNNNNNNNNNNNNNNNNNNNNNNNNNNNNNNNNNNNNNNNNNNNNNNNNNNNNNNNNNNNNNNNNNNNNNNNNNNNNNNNNNNNNNNNNNNNNNNNNNNNNNNNNNNNNNNNNNNNNNNNNNNNNNNNNNNNNNNNNNNNNNNNNNNNNNNNNNNNNNNNNNNNNNNNNNNNNNNNNNNNNNNNNNNNNNNNNNNNNNNNNNNNNNNNNNNNNNNNNNNNNNNNNNNNNNNNNNNNNNNNNNNNNNNNNNNNNNNAAAGGAAAUGAAAGUAACAGCUAAACCAACAGUGUCCGAGUCUUUGAGAGCUUAACCUCUUUUUUUUUAAACAUGUAAAAGACUCUAAUUUAAGGAAAAAAAUAUUAUUCGAGCUGAGAUUUUUCUUUUUUUUAGAUUUAAUUCUCAAAUCCACGAUAUUCAUAACCACUUAGAACCAAUGUAAUAUUAAGUCGCACGGGAGCAUAGUUUGAUGAUUAAUUGAUUACAUAUAAUAUUUUCUUUCAAACUUUUAUUUAAACUUUGUCUUACUCUUAUAAGAAAAAAUAUUGAUUUGAACCUAAUUUUUUUUAUAUAUAAAAAAGUCGACCUAAUAUAUAUUAAUUCAUAGAUUACUAUAUACUCUCGUCACUAAAACUAAAUUGAAGUGAAAAAUCAAUCAAAAUUUUGGUUAGAGCUUCCAUGUCCAAAUAGUGGAACCUAAUAAAAAUUUUUAUUUCUUGAAAAAUGAAAAAAGAAAAAAAUUAAAUAAGCACACGUGCACUGGUGCCGAUUUAGAGAGCUGAGCCUGUUCAGCUAACAAAAAUAUUCCAUUUUUAUCGAAAAUACCAAAAAAUUAACAAAAAAUGAAAAUCUGAUCUGUGAAACAAGAUAACAAAUAGUAAUAAAGAAAGAAAAUAACUGUAAUUUUCAUUUAUUAUUUAUAUAUUAUUAUAUGAACAACAAUGUGAUUUUAACUUUUUCUUUUUCAGUAACUUUUGCGCUCUGUUUCAUAGUACAACGCGUUAUCCCAUAUAUUUUACUAUUUUUUUUUACCCAAAAGAGAGAAAAUCCAAACCCCGAGAGCCUUGAAAAUUUUAAAACAAGAAUUAGAGAAUAAAAUUUAAAAAGAAGGAAAAAAAAAUCUGAGAGCUGUGUCAUGAGCGGGUAACCGAUUCAGCAAGUUUCCCAAUUUUUUCUACAAGCUCAGGAGACAAUUUCUUCGCAGGUUUCUUUUCCUUCUCCGGUCGAAAAUCAAACCCUAGUGCAUCCGAAACUUCUUCGGAGCUCCACCCGGCUUUUCGGAGUAAAUCUGAGAACCGAUCCGCUUUUAAAAGAAGUGCAUCGAAAACCGCUUGAUUAUCCAAUAAAACCAUCUUCCCUUUGAAGAAUCCAGAUGCUGACACGUGAACGAUCUCUGCUAUAUCGGAUUCGCACCAUCCACCUUCUCUAAGAACCGAUCCGAUUUGCUCUAUGUAUUCAUCGACCCAUUUUGGAAUUUGGGUUCUCGGCAUGUCGAAGCACCUUUCCGGCGACGAAUUUGACGAUGAUGAAGACGAGUUUCUCCGGCGCCGAUCAACCACCGCGUCGCUCCAGAACUCGACCCACCUAGGGGUUCUUGUCCCGGUUACCAAACCAGCAUCCAAACUCCGCCUCGAGAAAUUGGUGGAUGACCCGGCUGAUUUUUCACUGACCGAUCUCUGUUUUUUCAACAAUUCCGGGUCGGAUUCGGAGUUCCUAAACAAAGAUUCCCUCUCAAAAAAAUCAGAUAUGUCAAAUCCACAACAGAAAACACGGGUCUCGUCGAUGAAGAAAAUCGGGUUACCCGCUAAAGACGGGUUGCAAGGAAUAUAGCAAUGAUUAAAAAUGGGGAUCAAAAGGGGAGCUCUUUUGAGCGCAUUCCUUGCGAUCCGUAAAGCUUUCUCAGGGUCGGACGGUCUCGGCCCCCAAGAUUUGGACCAUAAAGUGUUACGCGCGAUCUGAAAGGAAAUUGCAGCGAUGGGAAGGUCGAGCGAAGCCCGAAGAUGGAGUCGGGCUCCACUAGGUCGCCAAUCAGGAAAUCCUGCGACCCACGGGUUACACCCCGGCUGCCAUAAUUAUGGCUCGGAGGUCAGGUGGGAAAACGAUACCAAACUCCGGCUCCGCUUCGGCGCCGGAACUCGGCGUCUGAUAAACCCCACCUGGACUUGGAACCCGAAUUUCGUAAAUGGUUAUUAAACUUUUUCCGCUAAAGAAGAGAAAGAUUGAAGACCGUUUGCCGAACAGGAGGGAAGCCGCGGAUUGAAGGAGCGGAAGCCGAGCCAGAGAGACGCGUAGGCCUGCUAUAUGGCCGGAUUCAGCACCGGCACAUCCUAGGCGGUCCACGGUCAACCAUUGCUACUUUAACAGCUAACAGUGGCUUUUCUAGUGCCCGUCGAAACAAAAAUAUUCUGUCCGGAAUAUAAUUUGUUCCUUUGACUCUGCUUUUUUUUAUUUUUUUCCAGUGAAAACGAGAGAGAACUAACUGCAGGAAGCGGGCGCCAGAGUUAGGGGUAACUAAAUUUUUGGGGGAGAGGACUUUGAGGAGAAAAGAAACGGUGCAUAUUUAUAGCUGCUUCAUAGGUGGAGUCCACCUCUGAGAUUUUGGACCUUUGGUAAUGUUUUAUUUUAAUAUUUUUUGUACAAUUUUUACUUUCCUAAAUUAACCUUGAUGAUUUUUUAUAAUGAUAUGCACUAAACUAGGUAAAAGUUUAUUGGAAAAAAAAACAAAACUGGGGAAAAUUUUUGUCCUUUGCUUGCCAAUGCAAUUCCAUGCUCAAUGUUAAGCAACGGCUCUUUUACGGCGAUUUUGUUUUUUCAUUUUUUUUUCUCAUAGCCGAGGGUUUUUUGCAAUAAAGAAAAUAAAAAAGGUGGUGAUUAACUUCAUUUUUUAAUGUGAAUUCAAUUUUGGGAUCGUGAUCAUAUUAAGUCAUUGGAACCUAAUUUAGUUUUUUCAUUUUGUUUCAUAUUAAGUUUAUUAUCAUGUUAAACUUAUCAAAUUGAUACUAAUUUCAAGUAUAAUUAAAUAUAAUCUACGAAACUACAUCAUAACUCAAUGAUACUAAAAAUAAGUAUGGAGAUUAAAAAUUUUUAAAAUUUGAACUUCAUUUGUAAUUGAAAAAAUAAAAAAUAUAUAUCAAAGUGUGUUAAACUUAUAUAAUUAUCAAUAAUAAUUUCAAGCAUUAUGUAAGUAAUUCAUAUGGCACAUCUUGAUCCAACAUUAUCCAAUAUUAUUACUGGGCAAUAUGUUUUAGGCGUGGGAGAAAAUAUACUAUUAAAGAUAAUUAAGAUUUGACAAAUCAUCUUAGAUCCUUAAUCAUCAAUUUAUCUUUGUAAAAUUGCUUAGUCUAAUCACCUUACAAAAAAACAAAGAAGGCUUUUGAUUUUUGUUUAAGUUACUGUUAAAUGGAAACUUUUGCCGCUGGUACGGCCAAUUGGGGUCCCAUUAGCAAUCAUGAAUUAGCUUGACAGCUUAGAUAAAGCGAGGCAUACAAUCAUAAUUCCACAUUGUUGUGUGCUAACGUUAACUAACUUUUUUUUUUUUUUUAUCUUUAAAUUUAGAAAGAGAGAUUGUUUUUUUAGAUUAAAAAAAAAACAUAGUUAUUGUUGAUUUUGAUCGAUUGUCAGAUAACAUUUCUUAACUUAAAUUAUGGCAGUGGCAAUGCUCUAAUUUCGACAAAAAUAUCACAAAAAUAAGAUGAUUUAAAGAUUUUGUUAAUGAGUCUAAUGACACUUUUUAAUAUUAUUAUUUAUAAAAUAAUAUUUUAUUCAUUAUAUUAAAAAUUAUGAUUAAAUUUAUCAAUGAUUGUAUUUGAUAUAAAAUUAUUAUUAUAAACAAUAUAUUAACUAAUUUUAAAAGUGUUUUAAGAGUACUUGUUAAAAAAAUAAAAAACAAAUUAAACUAAUCAUUGGUUAUAAGCAUGAGAUUAGUGAAUAAUGAAGUUGCCCUUUUAAUCUUUAUUUGGUGCUCCAAAAACAGGAUUAAAAUCCACGCCUAACACGGUUAUGUUUCAUAAGGGGAAGGCAUGGUUUAUCACAUUCAUUGAGCUCUUAAUGAGUGAUGGGGGAGAUGUGGGAAAAGAAGAAAAAGAAAAGCUAUUUAUUCCUUUUUUUUUUUGAUGAAAUUAACUUUUGAUUUGAUUCCUUAAUUAGAUUUUUCCUUGGAACUCAGUUUAGCAUCUCUAGGAUUUUGGUAAAAAUGAGAGAAAGUAAAUGGAAUAAAAGUUAAAGGGGGUAGUGUCCAAGAUGAUUUGAGAUAUUAUUGCCAACAAAAAGCAAGUUUAUUGAGGAAUGGAAAAAAAAAAAGUGGAGAGAAAGAAUUUUGCUAGAAGGAAAUGAGAGAAAAAAAAAUACAAUGAAAUUGGAAAAAAAAAAAGGUGUAAAGGAAACAGAUUGAUUUACCUAUUUUACGUAUCCAUAAAAAUAUGAUCAUGAUCAUUUCCAUGAUAUUAAAAAAAAAAAAGCAUAGUAUAGAAUGGUACUUAGCUUAUUAAAAAAACUUAGAUUAAUUAUUUUAUUAUCUUUAAUAAUCAAUUAAAAGAGUAAAACUAAAUUUUCUUCCUUUUCUUUUUUUUUCUCAUCUUCUUAUGAAAUUAAGAUAAGUAAACAAUUACACGAUUUAUUAAUAGAAUAUUAACUUUAUAAUUUAAUUGAUCAAAAUUUAAUAUUCUUACUUAUAAAUAAAAUAAAAUCAAGGGCAUAAAAUAAACCCUUAAUCCAUCAACAAAUAUGUUAUAAAACAAGAUUUUUCGUUUUUCCUACUAAAAUGAUAAAUGUUUAAUAAAGGAAGGUAAAACAAUUAAUCAACUUUUGUUUUUUAAAGAGACGUCUCAACUAUGAAGUUUUAAAUUUAUUUGUUUAAAAUUUUUGAGUUUGGAUUUAAAAUGGGACCAAAUCAGAUUUAAAAGAUAAAAAAAAUGAUACUUCUCAUUAUGCAAUCCAAUAUCAUAGGUAAAAAAAUUUUCAACCAUUUUCUCUCUUGAUUUGUUAUACAAUUAUACCGAACUAGGUAUCUGUAUAGCAAAAUAUCAUUAUUUAUUACACAAUUUAUAACUUUCGGAUUUCAAUUUAAUAAAAAUCCAAAUGCAAUUAUUAGUAUUUGUAGUGGUUUAAAAACUAAUUAAAAUCACGAGCAACCAAAGUGAAUGUAGUGAGAAAUCGGAAAGCACCAUUUCUAAUUAAUGAAAAAAAAAAAAAAAGAGUUUUCGAGAAGUUAAAGCAUAAUUAAGAGCAGUAAAUUAAAUCGCAUACAUUUAGGCGAAGGGUUUGGUUUAUUCACGUGGGGUUCACCUCUCCCCAAGUUUCCAAACAAUCUUCAUCAAAUUACUAAUGAGAUUGCCUUCCAACCCAACAACAAGCUUAAGCUUUAGCCCUCAGCCCCUCCUUCUUGGACUGUACAAUCAUAGCUCAAAUACUUAAAUAUUACUAAACUCUAGAGUUGAAAAAGUCUAAAAGGUAGUGAAACUAAAAUCCAAUGGAAUCAAAUAGAAUUAGGCAUCCCCAACUCCAAUAAUUAUUUCCUAGGUAGUUUUUUUAUGCUUAGUGAAAGGAAUUUUGUGUUGGCAAUGGCCAUGGCCGGCAGCCAAAUUCCAACGUCUCUUUUUACAUGGAUUCACAUAGACAAUGCUGGCACUCUGCUGACAGUUAAGGAAUGUGAACCUUAUAAUGCCAUGGGUAAUGAUUUUAUUUAGGAAUGUUAAAAAAAAAAACAUAUGUAUAGAAUAUUGAAAAGAUUUUGUUAAAAGAGUGUUGUGAGGGUAAUUUUAAAAUGAUAAUAUUACGGUUGUUUUUAUUUUUUUGAUAUAAGGGAAGCAAUAAUUUAAGAAUAAAAAAAAUUAUCACUUUUUAAAAAUAUCUGUAUGAAAUAUUGCGAGUGUAGCUUGAAAUAUUUUCAAGAUUGCUUAGGAGUUAAGAUUGGAUGUCCUUUGCUCAUUGAGACAAUGGUAAUCGUUAUAUCUAACACAAGGCAAUUGAAACUCAUUAAGGAUAUGCAUUUCUUGGACCCCAACUGUCCCAAUCUAAUAUCAUGAAUGUCUGCGUAUACACACAUUAAAAGGCAUUCAAAAGAAAGAUUUUUGAAUGUUUGAUCAAUAGUACUCUUAUCACACACGAGAUCUAGACGUUAAUAGCUUGAUAGUAAUGAAUUUCAACCCCAUUAUUAAUUUAAAACAACUGUUGAAGAUCAACGGUCACUUUCUUAGUCUGAGCACAUGAUUAAGACACUAAUAUUCCCCAAACAUCAAUUUACAAUAGUUUAAUAACCUGGAAUUGUAGUUAAUGAUCAAUUGACUUGGACUCCUGGAGUUGGGUUAAAAUAAAAACAUAAGAGAUAUAACUAAGGUUUAGCCACCAACAUGUGAUGGUGGCCUUGAUUUUCGUUAUUCGAGCAGGAGAUAUCAAUAUUUUUUGGGCUAAAGUUUUAAUCAUUAGGUCGGCAAAGAUCGAUGUAAUUGGUCAACAGUUGAUAGCUAGUUUUUUCAGCAGAUCCUUUAACAAGCUUUCACAUUUUCAUCUCAUGAUCAGGCUAUGGCAACAUCUACGAAAACCCAUUUGCCUUAUUAAGCAAAUGUCCACUUGCAAACAUCUUACUUUGGAAAUAACUUCGAAAAUCAGGGGCGCCUCUCGAUUUGUAUAAACAAAAUUUUGUUUUUUUUUUUUUUUUAUAAAAAUAUUUGUAUGAAUAAGUUUUGAAUACUUAGAUUGCCUCUCGAUUUUAAAAAAGAAGCGAAUCUUAAAGUUAUUCAAAUCGAUAAUAACAUAUCGUAGUUACUAUACAUACAAUGAGUCGUAUGUCAGAAAUCACAUCGGUUCUCGGAAAAAAACACGCUUCAUGCUCUUGAAUAUUGAGAACUAGUAUUAAGGAGAAAGGGAUCCCUCAUCGUUAAGAACCAAAAAAUAUUGGAUUAUGACUUAAAAGUAAAGAUCUAUCAUUGCUUGACCAAGACAUAUUUUUUUCAAAGCACAAAAUCGUAAAAGCAAAUUAUCUAAUCACUAACCUCAGCCAAUAACCAUAUGAUGAUUUAUUGAUAGAAUUUUGUAUUCUUAGAUAAUAUUUGAUAUUAUUUUUAAAAUUAUUAUGAUAAUUUAAUCACUAAAAUAAUCUUAUUAAUAAAAUGAUCUUAUCACUCGAAAUCAAUUUAUUUGAUUAAAAAUUAUUAAUUUUUAAUAAUUAAAUAUUAUUAUAUUUAAUAUUAUUAAAAAUCAAACAUUAUUUUAAAAAAAAUACAAAAAUAACCAGGCACGUAUAUUAUAAUAGUUAUACAAAUUAAUAAUUUCAAUAUUACUUAAAGAUAAUAAUUUGUAAAAUAUUAGUAAUAUUUUAUUUAUUUCAUAAUAAAAUAUACUUAAAUUAUUAAUUUAAAAUAUUAUCUUUAAGUAAACUAAUUUUUAUAAUAUAAAUUAUGUAAAAAAAUAUGUGAAUUAAAAAAUAAAACUAAUCUAUUAAAAAUCAAAAGAUUAUAUUAUAUAUAAAUUAAAAAAUAAAAGAAAUUACACAAAUUAUUUUUUGAACUUGUUACAUGAAAUAUUAAUUUGAAAAUAUAAAAUUUUAUAAUAUAAAAUAAUUACAAUUAACUUUGAGAAGAAAAAAAAUUUUAAUUCACAUAUUAAAUAAAUAAUAUUAACUAUUAUUAAAUUUACAUAUCACUUCAAAUUGAUAAUAAAAGUUUAUCACCCAUUUUGAUGAGAAUUAGAUCACUUUAUGAAGUAGUGAUUUAAUCGUUCUAGUGAUUCAAAAUUACCGUCACUUAAGAUCAUUGAGAGAUUACCAAAUACAUUGAUCUAAUCAUCAUACACGGAUCACCAUAAUUUUUUAAGUAAUCAUUUCAAACUAAAUAUUAUUUUAAUUUCAGUUAUUAGAGUUUAAAUUUUGAUAAUUUCAAAUAUUAAAAAAUUAUCGAACUCAAAAGUAGACAUAUUUCAACAAUCUUUGUAGUUGCAUUAACAAUUCUUAUUAAUAUACUAAUUUGAUUGACCUUUGUAAGUUUGUCUUGGUACUUAAUUUAUUAAGCAAACAGAUACGUCUUUUUCCCAAUCAAUUUAAGUAGGGGCUUUCAAAGAAAAAAAACUUUGGCUUUAGAUAUACAUGCGGGGCGUCUUUGCAUGGACCAAGUAGCUAGUGGUCGCAAAUUUGAUCACACUAAAAGCAGAGACAAAGGUUUGGGAUUAGAUUUGUAGGGCUUUAGAGAGGGAGGAUGGACCAAAUAGCACGGUCACCAAGUCGAAACCAUAGGUUACAGAAGUCUAGGAAAAGUCACCAAUGUUUGUGUGGAUGUGGAGCCGGCGGGGCACUCUCCAUAUACAGAAUUAAUUGAAAGAUGCGAUUGUCCUAUAUACGGAGCUAGUGGGGGCAAGUAGGGGUCCAUGGGUGAACAAGAAAAUCGGCCGGCCUGAUUUUCUUCAAUUGAAAAGUAGUGGGCAGCAUUGCUUACUUGUCUUCCUCAAUCCUACAUAGAUGUUCCCUUGAACCCCAAUUAGUCAAGCCAUCCGUCCUCUACCUUUGGUCAUUACGUUCACAAAAAGGAAAUUCAGAAAGGAUGACAAUGUGUCGAUAUUUAGUUUUGAUAUACUAGUUUUCAUAAUAAAUUUACUUGGUUGAUUGCUAGAGACAAAUCAUACAUGUGUAUGCUAAGAUUGAUUGAUCAAUUUUUUGAAUAAUCGAUGAAGUUCGUCAUCAGUUUGUUUAUUUCUUAGCAGAAGAGCGGAUCAAAUCUUGAGUUUAGGUUCCAAAAAAAACAAAACAAUCCGUGUACUGAUGCGAAUGGGUGAAAAAAAAUGGUCUACAAGGAUGAUUCUAACUAGUAGCUAUAGCCAUUUUUAUAGCUCUCAGCUUUAGUGGAAUUUCCAUCGGAACAAUCCUGUGGUUCCUGUUAGGGAAUCCACUACUUGUCAAUAUACGCAUAUCCAUGCAUAGCCCCAACGAAAAUUCUAAAAAUCCUUCUUAGUGAAUAUUGAUGAUAUCUUUCCCAUGUCAAAAUUAGAUCAGAUGGGGGAAUGGACACAACCAUUUCUUAAACAAAAAUAGCCUCAUAUGUUAUGCUUUCAAGUCCAAACAUAUCUCAAAUAGAGACGAGCUUGUCUCGAGCACAUAAUUCUCAUUGCCAUCAUUUUCAAUUUGAUUCAAAAAUUUUAGGCAUGGCAAAUUGGCAAUGAAUAUAGGAUUUGACAUCAUGUUUGACGUGAGAAAGAGAUAGAAAAUUAAAAAUAAAAAAUUUAUUUCAUAUCAUCAUUUUUUAACUGAGGAUGUAGUUAAAGAAGAGUACGAUUUAAGAAAACUAACUGAAUCACACAGGGAGUGAUGAUUUAUAAUGAUAAUAUAAUAUGAUAGUUGUGGGGUAAUUAUAUAGGUAGAAUAUGCCUGCUGCUUUGGAAAUAUUUAUGAUUUGUUAUAGGAGCAAGGAAAGGAUCCAAGUAUCUACCUACCGAUUAAUUCAUAUUAUUUUAUAAAACAUUAGAUAAAAGUUUAUUGUUAAUUAAGGUUAAAUUAAUCAAAGAACAGAUGCACCAUCAAUGUGCUCUGAUUUAUUAUUAUUAAUAAACAAAUAAUGAUAGGGUUUUGCGAGCAUAGUAGGGAGCUUUUCUAGGAAUAAUUUGGCAGGUAAAGCCUAGUACAAGGUGGUAUAAUUUAACAAAGAAAAAAAAAAUUGGGAUUCAUUAGCUUCAUUGUUUAAUAAAUCUUUAAUAAAGCUAAAAUUAAAUGUUAAUUUAUUACCUAAAAAGGCUCCUGAAGACGUGCUUGAUUAUCAAGGCUACUUCUAUAAAGAAUGAUUUUAGUGAAAAUAAAGCAAAUAUUAUAUGAUUCUUUAUGCCAAGUGCAUUUUCAAACAAAGCUUUCGGUUCAAGGCCUAGUUAGUAGGGAAAACAGCAAGGAAAACACAAAUCCUUGAAUUCAUUUACUUGUCAAUCAGGAUUUAAUUUUUGUAGGAAUAUUUCAAUGGAGAAUAAAAUUCUGAAUGUAUCAAGUUGAUACGAGGAAACAUAUAUUAAAAACCUUAGAAGAGCAGAUUAAAUUUAAAUAAAAUUUCGAGAAUACCUUUAAAUCUUUUAUAAGAAAAAACUCAUAUUUGAUUGAAAUGUUUUAUAUAAAUGUUAACGACAUGUUAUUUUCUCAACCCAUAUAUUGGAUUAAACUUUGAUUAAAGUAAAUGUCUCUCGUGUGGUGGUCAGAUUAUUUUUUAUUAAUUUCAUCUGUGAUGACCCUUUUUCUUCUUUCUUUCUUUUUGUGAUCAAUCUGAAUCAAUAGCUAGGAUAUAGGAGGGAAGUAAAGGGUGUGAAUAUUUGUGGCUGGCUAAAGCUAGAGAAGGGCAUCUCUUUCAUGAGAGAGGAGACGCGUGCGUGUGAUAAGGAUGGAAUGAAGGGUGGAUUCAAUUGUAAGUUUUUGAUAGCUUUGCUUUGCUUUAAUUCGUCCAAAAAUAUAAAAAAGAAAGAAGAAUUUUACUUUAGAUCAUCAUGACAGAAACAACAAAUCCGAGAUUCGCACGGGAAAAACUAAAAGGGCAGCAGUCUCACAGAACAGAUAGAUGAUAGACAUGUAGGGGCAACUUCGAUCCUUCCACACUUUUCCUAGCUUUAGAGUUAAAUUUGAUAACUUUAAUUAAAUGAACAUAACUCUGCAGUUUUCACAGACCUUUUUCUUCAGAGUUGAUUUUGCAUGGAUGAAAGGGUCUGUGUUUUAACUAACAGAUGGUUUGAUAAAGCUUGAGUUUUAAAUUCGUUGGAAGGUUACGAAAAAGUAAUUUUUUAUAAAUUCAUUAAAUCUAAAGUAAAUAAAUUUAUUGAGAUUAAUCUGGAAAAGAGACAAAUAUACUGGAACAAAUCCAAAAACGCUUUACCACUUAGUAAAAAAAAUUUGUGCUUUAAAAAUUAGAUAGUAUUUGCUUAGUUGGUGGGGUUUAGACAAUGUCAAGACCAGAAGAAUCUAGAUUCAUAUUAUGAAACUUAAACAUGACUAAGCAAAGUUCCUAUUCAUGGCUGCGUUACUUCAUAAUUUGGCACCUUCAAGUCAUAUGUCAUGGACCAUUCGAGUCCCACUGAAAUGAUCUAAAUCAUUCAUAAUUCAAAACAAGUUUUCAUUUUCCCCAAGUCAUGUCAUGUUAGCCACCCAUUAGUGCUUAUCAAUAUCAGAUUAGUAAUUCAGCAAAAGAAAAACUUGAAUGGCAAUGGUGUUCAGUGCGGUUGUUCAAUUUAAAUUAUGAGUGAGAGAAAUACAUUAUCCAAUUACGUGACUUAUUUUGCGUAUACACCGUCUAAAUUGAAAUUGAACACCCUCUUUUGAUCUUGAAGUGACAGAAUCUAUCCAAUGUUAAGAAUAAUUUACAAUCUCAAGAUCUUAUCUAUCUUUAAUUGUUGAAACUUGACAUAAAGUAUGCACUAAAUUCAUUUGUAAUUGGAUUUAACCAAUUGGUGCAGGCCACUCUUCCGAAGUCACCCACACAUAGAAGGCCAUGUGGUACAAUUGUCCAUAUACUGCAUAAAUCAACCACAAGGCGUGCGACAUCUUCAAAUGCUUUAAAUUUGAGUAUCUGUUGCAGUCGCGUCCAUACAAACUCCAUCGAUAUCUCCAUUUUAGGUUUCAGAGAAUCCAACUCCUUCCAUCUUUCUUUUUUACAAAUGAAGGAAUCCCAUGUUUUCUAACGAGCAAUCAAAAUGAAUUUACUGAUUUGUCACAUUGAAAGUGGUGUAGGAAAUGGGAAGUGGAAAAUUUUAACUACUAUUGAUUUGCAUGAUGCAUUAAAAUUCUUCAUUUUUUUUCCCACUAAAGGUAUGAAUGCACAUUUAGUAUGAUUUAUUUAUUGAAGAGAUCCAACUCCAAUCGCGAUCAAGGACUAGUGUAGUGAGACUGAUGAAUAUCCCACCUCAAGAUUAGUCUCAAGACACCCUCGACAAUGGCCCUUCGACACUUAGAACCGGCAUGUGGGGUAACUGUGUACUCCAACCACAAGACAUCACCUAAAUCCAGUCGCCUUUAUGGUUCCAUUGUCCACGUCUCAAUUGACUUGACUUAUAUCUAUCAACCAAGGAUGAAAACGAGGCCGAGCUCGGCUUGGCACAUAAUAUACUUGAAACUUGAAAAAGUCGGCUUUGCAUAUACAAGUGUUUGGCCAUAAUCCUCAGGGUCCACAUUUAUUUAACAAUAAAUAAAACCUUAUUUUUUUUAUUCUCAAAACAAUACUGUAACAAAAAUUUGAAGGUAUAGUGAACCUCUAGACCUCGAGUUUGUUCAAAUUAUACUUCUCAACCACACCUCCGGCUCCUAGCUUAGCGAUUACAAAAUUAUAUUUCACAGGUAGGAUAUUCUCUGCCAAGUUCUUCAUCGUGAGCAGUCAUUCUUCCAGGCUUCAUAUUUGUCAGUAUGAUUUAUUACAAGAAAAAGGAAAACUACAAACUGAUAUCCACCAUAAAACCAAAUCAGCACUGAAAGAUACUCGACGUUUAGUUAAAGGGAGAAUGAGGUAAGAGAAACUUUGGGGCUUAACCCCACCAUUAUUAUCAUCUUACUACAAUUUUCCCUUUUCCUUUUUCCCUUAUUUUAUUUCCAAAUAGAAUGCUAAAUGAUUCAAAACAGUCAUUUUCAAAUUACUUAAAAAAAAAAAAGAAAGAAAGAAGAAGAAGAAGAUAUCAAGUAUAUCGAAAGCCCUAUUUGUUAUACUCUAUGCAAUUUCGUAAUCGAGAAGAUCAAAAAGAACAUAUAAUAAGUGAUUAAAACACCCUACAGCAUUUGGCAAAUAUUCUAAAAAGCGGCCAGUAGCACCGCAACACGGCAUCACAUAGAUAUCAAAUACCCUGCCUGCAACAUUUGCAGCUAUCACCUUUUGUACCUUGAACGGCUUCUUACCCUGCAAUUUUAUAAAACUUUAAAUCAGCCUCCAAUAUUUACACAUAUCAAAUACCCUGCCCGCAACAAGAAAAGUCCGACUAUCAGACCAACAUGACCACCUGGGUGAGAGGGAAUUAGAACGAGAACGGAAGCAAGAGUAAGAGUGGGACCUAGAUCGUGAACGUGAUUGUGGACAAGAAUAGUAUCUUCGAGAACUCCUACUCCUACUUGGACUUCUAUUCCGUCGAUAUCUUCUGCAGUGAACAAAUUAUUCACCAUGUGGAUACAACGUGAUAAGAUAGCGCCACAACAAAUUUUAUCUUAAUUGCUAAAUUACAUAAUUGCUCUGUCAAAUCAGGAAUAACCAACAAAACAUUAACUGUUAGGAGAAGAAAUAACACAAUCAAAUCUUUAACAUGGAAAAAGGAAAAAGCACAAAAAAGACAAUAGAAACGUCAAUAAUUUUGCAAACUUCUUGACCUCCCAGUCCCCAGUAAAAGUUUGUGGAUAUUUAUUUUGUUCAAAAUUCAGGAAGCGAUUCCUGUUUUGUGUAUCAUGCUACUACAGCGAAUGACUCCUGGUUCCCUCACAACAAAUAAAUUAACCAACAAAUCUUUGGUUGGUUUGCAAGGAGACAUUAGUCUCCCACAAAAAAUAUUCAUCGUAAGCCAUAACACAAAGACACGAGUAUUCCAAUAUAUAUAUAUUACCUUGCUGGAGAUGACUGUAGCUCCUAUUGCAGCUGUGAUGCCUUUGACAACUUAAUUGGUUGUUUCUACAAGUUUUUCUAGUAUUUGGCACUCCUGCUCUUGCUUCUUAGCCAUUUCUGCAGCAGUGUCUUUCUUAACUAUAGAAGCAAUCAGCUUAUCAAACCAUAAAUACAAGUAAUACAGGCAGAAACCCUCUUGUACCAACUUACUGCCUCUCUCUUCUAUUCCAAGUUAAAUUACAGAUAAAGUAAAAAGCUAAAGAAAAUCUAGAAAGAACACAACUUGAUAAGAAAAGGACUAUAUAACUCCUUUAGAACUCCAACAAAGCAUGAGAAGAUAUCAUUGAAUCAACAGCUGCAUAAAACAAAUAUCAUUUAUGUCAUACGUUGCUUGUUUAACUGUCUGUUCAUAAUCCUUUUUAGCCGCUCCUGAGGAGUUUCUUUCUACAACCAGGCCAUGUUUGAGGGUCCUCCAGAUGUACUUGCCUUUGUCAACUUUGCUAAUGCUGAUGAUGCACUGCCAGAAAGGAAAUAAAAUUGUUAAAUUAAGGGCAACUCAAAAAAAUAUAUAUUAAAAUAAUCUUUUUUUGAUAAGAUGUAAUCAUAGAAGCAAAAGUUAUGGUCAUACCUAACUGUUGGUUUUGACAAUUUACCGCUCUUUUCUUUAUCAAGAGACACACCAGAUGCAGGAUCAACAUGAAGUGCCACAAAUAUGUGACCAGAUGAUGGCCUGCAGGAAAGGAGAAGCGGUAGAUAUGCCCAUUUUCAUGGUUUCAUGCAAUUGGGAAUCAUUCACACAAAUUCCAUUUCAGGAAAAAUAUGAGCUUCAGAAGGGAAGCCUCCUUCCUACUCUCUCUUGCCAGUUAUGCUGAUAACCCUAAGGCAGAUCUAUUCUAAACCGGAAAAGUUUGCCUCAGGCAACAAAAUUGGGAUAAGCUGCAGCAGUUUAAAGACUGUCUAAUCUAUCUUUGCAAGAAUUAAAGGUUGAGUGCUCUUACCGGUUCAAGAUAUCAGCAUGGGAUGGAGGAGAUGAUGGCGGAGAAAACCCUUCAAGCUUUGGUCCAUCCCCGUCGCCAGAGCCCCCAAACUCUGUAAUAUACUCUAUUUUUGGAGCCUUUAGGUUACUUCUAUGAGAAUCAUCAGAAUAACCUCCACAAGCAUGACGCCUUGAGUAUGAUGGAGAGUGUGAAUGUGAUCUUGAUCUUCACCUGAAUGGGAAAUUCUGUACAUAAAUUCCUCUUCUGUGCCUCAAAAUAACAGCUUUAAGAGAAAUCAAGCUUAGAGUAUACCUCCUAGAACGUGGAUAAGCCUCAUAGGUCGGACUACACCUAAAUUCCCUGCAUGCGGCAAAGGAAAGCAUCAACACUGUAGGCAUGAUGUCACCCAAUUAUACCAGUUUGUAUCAGAGAUCUUCCAAAUUCUGUACCCGUAGGGAUCAUUAUGGAGUACUCGUGUUACGGUCAUCCUUGCGGCUUCUCUUUCUCUCUCCCUCUCUAUUUGAGAAGCUUUUCUCCUUUCUUUGCGACUUAGUUUCCUCUAAAAGAUCAAAAUUUGAGAUUUGUUAUCAACAUAUUUUAAAUAACAAAAAUGUAACUACAACCAACAUGUCUUAUAUUCAACUUACAAUUGUAGGAUCGUCUUUGAUCACUUCUUUCUAUCUUUUUUCCUCCUCUUUUGCUUUUUUUUCCACAUAAACAAGCCAACAAUACCUUUUUGUUAGCUUUAUAGGUUAAAUGGUGAUCCAAGAAAAGGGUGAAUUGGAUCUCUCCAAAUUCUUUCCAAAUAAUGAUUUCAAUAUAGUUGAAUGAAAAUUAAGACAAUAAACCCUUUUGAUGAAAAUAUAAUGAAAACAAUAACAAUUAAGUUUUAUAUUUUAGUACUAAAUAAAUAAUAUGUUUUUCAAAGUGUAAACAAACCUUUCUUUGUUUUUAUAUUUCUCAAACCAUUAUUUUUCUCAAACCAAAUCUAUUUUUAAAGAUUAUUUAUUUGAGCUUAAAUGAAAGUCCAAUUGUUCUUUUUAAAGUGAACUUAUUCAUUUUGGACUUAAUACAAAUUUGAUAAUAUUGGUUUUGGAAAAUAGAUUAACUUAAGAAAGCUGUUUUACGAGAAUAAAAUUUUUCAACAUUGAACUUAUUUUAUUUUUUCUGUAUUAAUUCAACAAAUUUUAAUAGUUGAAUUUUAUAUGGUUGGAAAGCUCUUUGAGUCUACUUUCUAAUGGAUCAACAAAAUCAAAAUCCAAAUUUUCUAAGAAAAGAUUUUGAAUUUUUUACUAGACAUUGCAGUUGUCAGAAAAAUUGCACAAUGGUAACUUUGAAAAUUUACUAUAAUUCGUACACAGUGAAUUAGGUGAUGCACGUUAUAUGGACAGAAAGCUCUUUAAAGUCUAGUUUCUAAAUCUUCAAACGGUUUGUGAAUUGGAUUUGCAUAACUCAAGUUAUGAUCAAAUUAGUAAGUAGAGUGCAAAACAGAAAAACUACCACCUAGCAUGGACAGGAUUGAUCCCCUCUAGAAGGGAUCGAUUGGUUUUCAAACAGAAUGCUCCCAGGACCGAAAAUCUAGAAAAGGGAUCAAUCCCCUACAAAAGGAUCGAUCGGUUAGGCUAUUUUCAAAGAGAAAUUAGUUCAAAACAUGAAACCAAUCGAUCCCCUAAGUGAGGGAUCGAUCCCCUGAAGGCCAAAAUCACUCCAACGGCUAUUUUAUCAAGGAUUCAACGGCUACUUUCACUUCCCAAACACUUUCAACGGCUAGUUCCUCAAUUUCUCUAUAAAUUGGGCACUCCACCACACCAAAAAGAUAGAUGAAUCAAGAGAGUAAGAGCCAACAAGCAAUAUUUUCAUUCUUUCAAAUAAUCAAGAGUUUUUAGAGCUUCAAAGUCUAUAUCUUUGCAUUUAUUGUAUCCAAAUUAUUUUUGUUGUUCAUUCAUCAUUUUCUUGUCUAUACUAUUGUAUACUUCAAAUUAGCAAACACCCAACCUUUGAGAGGUUCUUAAAGUUUGCAAAACACUUCAAAAAAUUUGUAUUGUGUGCUUGUAAGCUUAAGGGGGAGGAUAACCCUUAAGAAUGUGUAGUGUUGAGUUUGUAAAGCUUUGAGAAGCUUGUUUGUAAUCUUCAACACAUAGUAGAUUGGAGCCUUGGUGUGGACAACCAAAAGAGAGGAUUAGGUGCCUUAUGGAAAAGGACCGAAGCUCUAUAAAUCAUUGUAUUUGAUUUCUCUAUCCCUAUCUCCUUAUAAUUUAUUAUUGUUCAUAUUUGAUUUUAAGUUCAUUAAUUGUUAUUGUUUUCAUUAUAUUUUCAUCAAAAGGACUUGCUGUCUUAAUUUUCAUUCAACUAUGUUGAAAUCAUUAUUUGGGAAGAAUUUGGAGAGAUCCAAUUCACCACCCUCUUGGAUCACCAUCUAACCUAUAAAGCUAACAAUUGGUAUCAGAGCUUUGAUCUCUUUUUGUAGGUUUAACCACCUUGAGAAAAGAUCAUAUGGCUCAAUUUUGGUUCCAAGAUGGUGAGGAAGUCCUCAAAGUUCCUAUCGUUGAUAAAUUUGAAUUUUAUGAAUGGAGAAGGAGGAUGAAGGUGUUCAUUAUGGCCCAAGAUUUUAGAGCUUGGAAUGUUUGUAAAAGGGCUUGAAACUCCUUCAAAUGAUGCAAAAUACAUGGGGCAAGUGAUGAAUGAUGUCAAGGCCAAGUGCUUACUAUAUGGAGCUCUUGACUCCCAUAAAUUCAACUUGGUAUCAAAGUAUCCAACCUCAAAUGAGAUAUGAGAGAAGUUGGAUGAAAUAUAUAAAAGACAACAAUCCAACCGAAAUGCAUCAUGUCUCAUGGCUCUUGAAGAUCCGGAGGUAACCUCUAAUUCUAUUAAUUCAAAUUCAUAUGCUUCUGAUGAAUUACAAUAUGCUUAUAAUGAGCUAUAUGUUGAAUGUGAAUCAAUG
rnacentral:lncRNA from 1 species